UCUAGUAAGUACUUAAGUUGUAAUUAGGGAAGGGGUGGGGUGAUUGCCUCAUGAUUGUUGCAUUGUAAAAUUCACAUUCAGUCUCUAGUUAAAAUAACACAAUCCUUCGAAAACCCUGAGAUCCCGUGAUAUAAGCUGAUAAUAUAUAUCUUCUUCAAAUGGAUGUGAAGUCGAUCUGUCUUUUAUUUAAGUUUACUGAGCAAAGGGGACUAGCCAUAAAAGCUCGAAGGUGAGCUCGGUACUCGUAGUCAUGAUCAUCACAAUCAUCAUAUGAAGCAUAAGGCUUAACUACUUUUCCAUAACAUUAAUUUAUUUAAUUAAUUAGUACUCAGCUACCAAAGUAGCAGUUAAUCCAUAUGAUUCUCCAUUAACUCUACGGCAGCUCAAUCUAAUCUCCCCUCGGUUCCGGUCAACGGGCUUAUAUUACCCAUUUUAAUCAUGGAUUCCCCGAAAUUCUCAAAGAAUGCGCUCUGAUUAGCGCUGAAGUUGUUAACAAUGUCGAUGGUAUCAGCCCCGCUAGUUGAAAACAGCUCUUGAUCGCUUUGGAGCAAGCCUUCCUCGACUUGAAGAUUCGAGAAAUACUUUGCAUCGAAAGUGUCAGGAGUUACAGGAUCCAAAUUGGUCAGUACACUGCCAUUCCCAUUCAGUGGGCAUAUCUCACUCAAUGUUUCUAAGUAGGUUGAGUUCAAGGUCGGAUCAGGACUGCCUGUGCCGCUGAAGUUAUACAAUCGAUCGGUGAAAGUUAGACAUCUAGCACGCCCAAAUGUGUGAGCACCUGUUAAUUUUGCAUGCCAAAUUUUGUUACUAUAAAGAGAGGGAACAUAGUUAGAUAUAUUUUUUUGCAGCCGUACGAUUUGCUUGCUUACCAGAUAGUGCAAACCAGAUCCGUGGUGUUGAGGCCUACAGCUAAGAAGUUGGCCUCGAGUUCGUCAAGUGUAAAAGUAGGAGCUGGAAGGGCUUCGUUGGCAGCCGUGCGAUUAGCUGUUAAGCUAUCCCUUCUUCCUAAUAGCACUGUCCAUGAAGGACCUCCAGACUGCAACCAUAGAUUAGUUACUCAAAUUCCAAAUCUCAUGAAACAAAAAUGCUUUAAAUUGUUGUUGGAGCUUGAAAUGUAUACCAAAGCAACAGAUUCUUCGGCAGCAAUGGCGAGAAUAUCAGCACAGGAAACGACGGCGGGACAAGCAUUCUCCAAUGCAGUCUUGAUAUUGUCCACAACAUCAAAUCCUCUGGCCGAGUUGUUAUUUGGCACUGCUGUUUUUUCGCUGUCAAUGGUACUGUUAGGAUUGGUACUGUUGUCCAGCAGAAUUGAUCCAUCGCAACCCUGAAAUAUAAUCAACAAGUGUUUUUCAUCUAAAAAUUGCAUGUUUUUGAAUUUUGCUUACGUCUUCUGAAGUUCUAUUAACAGAGAAGCAGCUGAUAAUAAAAGCACUUUUGUGCUCAGGCAUUGUUCCGAAGUCCAGUAACUUAGAAGCUGCUAAUAUAUACAAAGUAAUCUUGGUUGGUAUGUUUUCAAAGUUGAAUAAGUUGUUCAGCUUAAAUCUUUGAAGAACUAAUUAAACUUCGCAUCUGAUACCACGGAAGAUAUUUUCAGGGAAACUAAUAUUAAUUCCAUUUGGAUAAAAAGAAAAGAAAACAUGGACAGAUCUUUUGGUACUCCAACCAAAGUUCUAAAAGACGUUAGGCGAUAGUCGAGCGGCGGGCUAGAGCCUAACAGUUAGGCGGGGCCCUACGAGGACUAGACCAAUUUAAGCAAUUUAUUGUAUAUUGUAUAAAUAAGUGUCUAUUUAUACUUCAAAAGACACAUAAUUGUAUUGGAUAUGUAAAUUGCUAGAUAAAAUAACAUACAAAUUAUAAAGUAUUAGGACAUAUUGUAAAUAUUGGAAACAAACAUAUAAUAAGUGUUUAUCCAAGUAUUCAAUGAGUCUCUUACAUUUUAUUGACAAAAAUAAAAUGCAAAAUGAAAGUUAUCAAUUUUAUGUCUAGGUGGAGUCGCAACCUAGGCGGUGCAUAGGCAGGUUUAGGAGGGCUAAGUGGGCGCCUAGGCGGACACCUAAGCGGGUUUAGGCACACUUUCUUAAUUUUAAAACGCCUAGGGACUAAUUGGGACGGUAACCAGUUGCCUAGUGUAUAAGCGGGAAUUUUCAGAAUAGUGGCUCCAACUACAAGUUCUACUUAUUUUAAUUAAAAGGGUUCUUCACAAAUAAGCUCCCUCAAAACUAUGUUAGGUCAAAGGCACUUAAAUCUCCUUGCACUAUACACUAAAUAAGCAUAACACCAUAAAUCGAGCUGGUGCACUACUACUGAGGCCAUACUUAAAAACCAAAAUCCCGGACUGGAAAUUUCCAAAAAAAAAAAAAAAAAAAAAAAAAUCCCGGACUGAAAUUCGUGAUAAGAACACCGGCCAAAGAAAUAUUUUUUUACAAACAAAGGGUAUCAAAAGCAAAGAAAUGAAUCAUACGUUGACGAAGCAAUCGUGAAAGUGAAGCCGAGUGAGGCUGGCAGUAAUCCGGGGAUCGGUCUGCAGAGCCUCUUCAAUGACUCCACGCACAAUGGUGGUGGCAUUCGGGCAUGAUUCAUCAUAAAACGUAGGAGUCAACUGAGCAUCACCACAUCCUGCACUUGCACACAAGAUUAGUAACACUGCCAAAACAUAUUUGUAAUACAAUUGAGCACUAUAAGGAGGCAUUUUUCUCAGGUGGUGUUCGAUUUUUCUAACAUAUGUUGAUCAAUGCAUAUGUGAGCCAAACGGUAUAGGUCUAUUUAUUGAGUGACAGAGUGAACUGGUAGAUGAGAAACCCGCGUUAGGUAGAUGUCAAAUUAGGUUUAUUUUUUUGGUAAAAAGUUCAAAUUAACUUAAAUAAAUAAAAAUCGAAGCCCUUUUCUCCCUUUUCUCCCUUUUUCUUCUUUACGUGAAGUGAACCAUGAUGAUAUACUGGAAUCCAGAAUGUGGGUCCCUGGAUGCAAUAUAAUCUGUCAUAUGGAGUAUCUGUGGAGUAUGAUUUUCUCUCCUCUUAUUCUCAUCUUAUUCCUUCUCCUCCUCUCACAUAUUGUUUUUUGUCUUAUUGUCUUUAUAAAAAAAUCAAUAUAAGAUGUUGACGUGAUUAAACCGUAACCAUUCAAAUAAAAGAAAAGGAAAAGGGAGAGAGAUUAGGAGGGAGGGAAUCCUCCUCCUAAAUGUUACUACCCUUCCCGCGAAAAAAGGUGAGGUUUCUGUAGACAUCGAAAUUUCGGUAAAUAAAUGUUGACCGAUAAAUCAAAGUGUCAACGCUCAUGUAUUACAUAAAUUUUACACGUAGCGUGUGACUAAACGAAAAUUGAAAUGAGUUGGAAAAGUCAUCAAAUAGGACACGUGUCAACACCUGGCAGAAACGACUUAUUUCAUCUGGGAUAUUAUAUUCAAAAUUAGGCAUUGGAAAAUUCUAUAAAUACAAGCCCAUUUCAUUCAUUUGAAGGGAAGGAAUUGAUAUUACACCUUGAAGCUCUGAAGCUCUGAAACUCCGAAGCUUUCAAGCAUCCAGGUUCCCGAAGAAUCAAGAAAGCCUUCUUUGUUCUUCAUUCAUCGUUCUUCCAAGAUCAAGCCCCAACGGCCCUUUGGAUCAACAAUCAUCCACCAAUUCAAGAUCAAGCCUCGACGGCCCUUGAAGAAAGUGUUCUUCGUUCUUCGUUCAUCGUUCUUCCAAGAUCAAGCCCCAACGGCCCUUGAAGAACUUCCACCUAUUCAAGAUCAAGCCUCGACGGCCCUUGAAGAAAGUGUUCAUCGUUCAUCAACCGUUCAUCCUAAGAUCAAGCCUCAACGGUCCUUUGGAUCAACAACAUCAACAAAUCCACACAUCCAACCGUUCUUCGAGAUUAAGCCCAAAAGCCCUUGAAGAUCCGUUCAUCACUGUUCUUCAAGAUCAAGCCCAAAAGCCCUUGAAGACCCGUUCAUCACCGUUAUUCAAGAUCAAGCCUCACACGGCCCUUGAAGAAACACUCAUCCUCAAGAUCAAGCCCCAACAGCUCCUUGAAGAUCCGCUCAAAUCCACCUUCAAAGAUCAAGCCCACGGCCCCUUGAAGAAACUUCCAAUAGUUCAUCCAAGAUCAAGCCUCGACGGCCCUUGGAUCAAUCAAACAUCCACAAAUACACACCUUACGGAGAUCGAAUCAGAGGAUCAAAAUAGAGAGAGAUUGUAACCCAAAAUCAUCACAAAUACAAAUAUUUUGUUUGUGCACGUUGUUCUUGUCUCCUUCGUUUCAGGAAUUUUCCGUGUUCACAAAUUGGCACGCCCGGUGGGAUCAUCUCUACCUCUCAUCUCUUUCUCCGUUCAAGAAAUUCAAGCGCACUUCCAAAAUUAAUGGCAUCAAGGAAGGCUCAAACUGUUCCCGCAACAGGUGCAAAGAAUAAAAGCGUCCUCGUCGCAACUGGUGUCACUUUGGGCAUCACGACUCGAAGCAUGGCAAGAGCUACUUCUGCCGCCUCUUUCACCUCUGCAUCAACUCUGCCAAGGGAACAAAAGCACCCAAGGCACGAGCCUUCGAUCACCUUAGCCUCACUAAGGGCACCAAGGGGGGGAAGCCCAAGGAAAUACUCCGAAUGCAUGCUCUCCGAUGCCGAUUCAAGCGACAGUUCAGCCAUGCAAGUCAUGACCAUUGGAGCAACUUCAAUCGAUGAGCAGCUGGCUCAAAUGAAUGAAGCAAUCGCAAGGCUAACCCGAACUGUGGAAGAAAAAGACUUGCAAAUUGCAGCACUAGUCAACCGACUGGAGGCGCAGGACGGCGAUAAACCCGACCCAGAGGAUGAUCCACUAAAGGGAGGAGCUGGCGGAGACGAAGAACCCCCGGUGAAGAAAAUCGAUGGGAAGCCGAAACCAGACCAAGCAGCGGCACUCAUGGGAUCUCUUUCUAUCCAGCAGUUGCAGGAGAUGAUCACCAAUACCAUCAAGGCACAGUACGAAGGGAGCUCACAUACCUCCUUGUUCUACUCGAAGCCCUAUUCCAAGAAGAUUGAUGCCCUAAAGAUGCCAAUGGGUUAUCAACCACCAAAGUUCAUGCAGUUUGAUGGAAAAGGAAACCCAAAACAGCACGUUGCACAUUUCGUCGAAACUUGCAACAACGCGGGGACGGAGGGAGACUACCUCGCCAAGCAGUUUGUGCGCUCGUUGAAAGGAAAUGCCUUUGAGUGGUACACGGACCUAGAGCCUGAGUCCAUCAACAGUUGGGAGCAAUUAGAGCGGGAAUUCCUCAACCGCUUCUACAGCACCCGCCGCACUGUGAGCAUGCUAGAGCUAACGAGCACAAAGCAGUGGAAGGACGAGCCAGUCAUUGACUACAUCAACAGGUGGCGCACUCUAAGCCUCGACUGUAAAGACAGGCUCUCGGAAACCUCUUCAAUCGAGAUGUGCAUCCAAGGCAUGCAAUGGGGUUUGCAAUACAUCCUUCAAGGCAUUAAACCACGGACCUUCGAGGAAUUGGCCACCCGUGCCCAUGACAUGGAGUUAAGCAUCGCCCAUCAUGGGAAGAAGGAACUGAUCGCUGAUUACAAGAACGACAAAGUUCUUGGGCCAAAAGUGGAGAAGGCUACGUGGAAAUCCACCAAAGAAGCAAUGACAGUCAACACAGCUCCCGUCAAAAUCCCUACACGAGGCAAGGCGAUUCAAGCCGAAGGCUUUCGUGAUCAAGAGAUGCGUAGACGCACUUUGAAGGAGCUUGAGGAGAAAACUUAUCCAUUCCCCGACUCUGAUGUGGUUGCCAUGUUAGAAGACCUGUUGGACAAGAAGGUGAUCAGUUUGCCUGAGUGCAGACGGCCGGAAGAGAUGAAUCGUACCGACAACCCAAGAUACUGUAAAUUCCACCGCUUCAUCAGUCAUCCAACAGAAAAGUGCUUCGUAUUGAAAGAUCUCAUCCUGAAGCUAGCACAACAAGGGGAAAUCGAGCUUGACCUCGAAGACACGGCCGCGGCACACACUACUACUAUUGUGUUUGAAUCACUCGAUCAUGUGCAUCUCCGAAGCAUGCAUGACCAUUCCCGUCAAUGUUCAAGUCACAUGGCACCUCCUACACAACCAUCACCGGGGGCAAGCAACCAAGAUGCAUCUACUGGUGAUAAGAAAGGGUGGACAUCGGUGACCUACAAAAAAACGAGGAAGCCAAGACCACAAGCCAUAAGGCCAAAAGAUGAGCCUAAACCCGCCCUUCGAACUUCAGUCUUCGAAAGGCUGAAUUAUUCAAAACCUAGAAUUGCAGCACUUGAUCGCAUCAGUGGUCGAGACCAAACUUCCGUCUUCAAAAGGCUUGAGACGCCAACACCUCAAAGAUCAGUCUUUGAAAGGUUAUCAAAACCCAAGAAACAAAGCGGCACAGCUAGAUCUCCUCCGCAACGGUCGGCUUUGGACAGACUUGAAGAAACUAAGAAGCCUUCUAGAAACAGGAAGACAACACCAAAGGGAGAGAAGCUCGACAGUCCAGCAGGAAAAGACGAUGUUCAAAGCUUGAUUCCUUCAAGGAUGAAGCGCCAAGCCACUUUGGAAGUCGACACAAAAGGACCACUGAAGGUAAGGAGGCGCACCAUCAUCUACACCGGCCAAUCUUCACGGCAACAAACCCAAGAGGACCGCACUAAAGAGAAGGCCCAAGAAGACAAAGAAGACGAAAUCCUGGAAGAAGACGUCACUUCCGGCUCUGUCAACUCAAAAUUUUCACUUCAAUUGCUGGGGACAUGCUCCAAAAACAUGCCAGUCAAGCCGAGUGAAGUUGAAGGAUGGACUUAUGUCACUCCGAAGAAAUUGCACAAGAAGCAUAUGUCUUCUCCACAAGCUCACCAAUGGGAAAGGGGGCAAAACAGCUCCUAUUCACCUCCAGAACAAUGUGAAAGUGUUGGAGAUAAUGAAACUUUGACACGAAGAUCAUCCAUCCCCAUCACGAUGCGUGACAUCUUCCCAGAAGACUUCUUCAACUACUCAGUCAAGGCUCCUUGCUAUGAAGAUUGCGAGGAACGACUCUCUCAGAUCGCUUGACGAACCAAAGCUCCUUGUCUGUAAGAGCCUAAACUGCAAGACACAAAGCUCCUUGUCUGUAAGAGCCUAAACUGCAAGACACAAAGCUCCUUGUCCGCACGAGCCUAAACUGUAGGACACGAGGCUCCUUGCCUGCACGAGCCUAAACUGCAUGGCACAACGCUCUUGGUCUGCACGAGCAUAAAAGGCAACACCAAUGCUCAUUGUUCGCACGAGCCUAAACUGCAUGGCACAAUGCUCCUUGUUCGCACGAGCCUAAACUGCAUGGCACAACGCUCCUGGUCUGCACGAGCAUAAAAGGCAACACCAAAGCUCCUUGUCUGUAAGAGCCUAAACUGCAUGGCACAACGCUCUUUGUCUGCACGAGCUGAAACUGCAACGCGGCACCAAAUGCUCCUUGUCUGCACGAGUUGAAACUGCAAACGACACCAACACUCCUUGCCUGCACGAGUUGAAACUGCAAACAGCACCACAAAAAAAAAAAUACCAAAAAAUAUGUAUGCAUUUGAACUACGUUUUGACUUGAUCUCUUUCUUUGGAAGGGUACGUAGGCAACUUAAACGUUCAACUUUGAGUACAGUCAUACUAAAAAAACAAAUAAAAUAAAAUGUUUUAUUAAAGAAAGUCAAUUUUAUUACAAAAAAGAAAAAGAGAAAAAAAAAAAAAGAAUACAUAUGUUAUUAUGUAUUUACAAAAAAAAAAAAAAAAAAAAAAUGUAUAUGUAUGAGUGUCUCGGCCCAGCCGCAACAAAAGGUUUAAGCCACAAGCCCAAUUCGGUUGAGAAGAAGCACAAAACCCAGAUCUCUCCAAAGCAACACCCGGCCCAGGAAAAUAGCCCAUAUCAGUCCACACCGCAGGACUAGGUCACUCUCCACACCGGAGUUGGCUCGUCCCGAGUCACCGACAUGGUUUUAGAUGCGAAUCCCGUGGCUAUCUUCACCAUCACCUGUCGCUGCUGAGUGCUCAUAUCGGCGCCACCAUUAGAUUGUUGGGUGCGAUGCCCACGUCUACCAGGCUAUCAUCCUCUCCAGAUCUCCUCGAGCACAGAGAUUGCGUCGUCCAAAUCAUCAUCAUCAUCACUUGCAAGACCCGCAUCUCCCACUCCCUCAUCUUAAUCUCCGAGUCCAAGAAGCAACCAUGUUUACAGCAGGGAAUUCCAGUCCAUGUUGGAAGGGUUAGAUGAGGACGGUUGUGUGGAAGAAGCCGAACGCAUUUCUCAACUGCAACUCCCGAGCACACAUCCAUGGUGUGAUUGGGUGUGGGAGCACCAAAAUCCUCAAAAGUUCCUCAAUUGGCGAUUCCAAUGGCUUCAAUCUCCGGCGGGAUCUCGACCUUUAACCCGGUCCGAUCCUCAUAGAUCUGAAAUUGCCAUGACUCCCGUGGAUCUCUCCUCCCUUUCCCUUCGUCUCUAUAGAAAUUUGGGGCACCCAGAGGGCACCCAAAUUCGGUCUCUCCCUCUUCAUUCGCCGCUGCCAACCUAGGCAGAGCAGAUCGCGACUCCUCUCUCUCCUCCGCUUACGCUGCUCGCGGUGCUCGCCUGCUCUCUGCAAGCCUCAUGCGUGCACCCAUACCUCCACCUCACCGUCAGGCUCUUGGAGCCCAUCAAGCAACAGGUCUCUCCCUCUUCAUCCGCCGCUGCCAACCUAGGCAUAGCAGAAAGCGACAACGCCAUAAAUCCCCACACCAGUCCGUCUCCUGCGACUUCGACGGCUUCGAAACAGUUGCGACGGCGGCGCCACCAUCUCUUCUCAAUUCCACCUCAGAUUUCGACUAAUAUUUCAGACUUGGACGCAACCGCAACCAAGGCAUGAUUUUCUUGAGCUGGGGCAGGCCAACUCCUCAGGAACAAAAGGCUUGCAUUGGCAGGACUGGAGGCAUUUUGGUUUGAAUUGGGCAUUUUUUGAUUCGAAGACACCAGUUCAAGAUGGAGUGAAGUUUUGUGUUUGCGUCAACGAGUUUCUGCCAUGGGUCACAGCCCAUUCUCAUGCUUUCUCCACUCUCAAACUCCUCUCACGGCUAAAGAAAGCUUUUACUCGGAAAGAGCCCACAGAGAAGCAUAUGCAACAAUCCUACAUUCUGCCCAUGUGUAUGUUUGUGGAGCCAUUGCUGCAGCUCAGAGCAUCCGUAUGUCUGGUUCAACACGAGAUCUUGUAAUACUUGUUGAUGAAACAAUCAGUGAGUAUCAUCAUGGAGGGUUGGCAGCUGCUGGAUGGAAGAUGCACACAAUCCAAAGAAUCAGGAACCCUAAAGCCCCAAAUCUGAACCCAUGUCGCUGCGGAAAGCCUUUCGCUCCUGGAAAUUCUCCAAAUCGUUCAGGGAAUUGAAGCUCAGCGACGAGGAUCAGGCCCGUGGGGGCGACCGCCGAGUCGUCCGUGACUCGAACUGUGCUGACUCAUCUUCGUCGCUGUUGUCGUCUUCAUGGUCGGAUAUGCUCCCGGAGCUGCUCGGUGAGAUCAUACGGAGAGUGGAGGCCAGCGAGGACAAGGGGCCUCACCGUAAAAAUGUCGUCGCUUGUGCCUGUGUCUGCAAGCGGUGAAGGGAUAUCACUAAGGAGAUCGCGCGGUCUCCUUCGUACAGUAGCAAAAUUACCUUCCCUUCGUGCCUUAAACAGCCUCUCCCCGACGAUGGCGUCCCCAGACUGCUCCUCGACAUUGGUCUCUACUGCAGGAUGUGGGUUCUGGUUGUUUGGUUUUGGGAAUUAGGUUCUGGUUCAUCAUCAUCGGUAUGCAGGUUCUGGGUCAGGGUUUAGAACUUCGUUCAGGACUUCGAUCUCGUCGUCUCAGUCUCUCAUUCUCCGUCUGAAUUCGAUCUCGACUCUGAAAUCCACCAGGCUCCUCCCUGCCUUCUCUCCAUCUAACCCAUACAGCCUGGACCAGGUCCCAUGGCACAAGGAUCAUCGCUGGGACAGGAACAGGAACUUUCCUCAGUUUUUGGAAUUUUCUUCUUGCUUUGGAUCUCUGCCGAGGGAUGAGUGGGCUGUGCUAUGUGCCUGUGCUCAGUAGUGGUGCUCUGUGGCUGUGCUCGAUCAGUGGCGGUGCUCGGUGGCAGUGCAACGGAUGCGCAAUGGCUGUGCUCCGUAGCAGUACAACGGGUGUGCAGCGGCUGUGUUCGGUGGUUGGGCUCAGUGGCUAUGCUCUGGGUUCUAGCUGGAUCCGACGUCAAGAUCACCUCCACCUCCUCCGUCUCUUGCCUCGUAGCUGCCAACAACUUUAAAGACCGCUGUCAAACGACUAGCCGGCCGAGAAGCGCUUCCUCAAAUUCCAGCUCUCCGUCCGUCUUCGUCCGCUCCCUGCAAAUUCCUCUACCCACCACCCAAAUUUAUACAGAAAAACAUAUUAAAAAAAAAAAAAAAGGGAUGGUGGAGCAAAGUGGUGCUGGCACUACGUGAAAAAAGAAAAGAAAAGGGGAAUGGUGGAUCAGCACCAUGUGAAAGCGAAGAAAGAAAAAAAAAAAAAAUAUAUAUAUAUAUAUAUAUAUAAAUAAAAAUAAUAAUAAAAAAAUUAAAAAAAUUAAAAAAUAAUAAUAAUAAUAAUAAAAAAGGAGAGAAGGUGGAUUCUUGGUGGCUAGCACCAUGCAAAGGUGAAGGGUUUUGGAAUGGUGGAUCAUUCCACGUAAAAAAAAUAUAUACAUACAUAUAUAUAUAUAUAUAUACAUACAUAAUAUAUGUAUGUAUAUAGCAAAAAAAAAAAAAAAAAACGCAUUGAGAGAAAUAAAGUCCAUUUCAUUGAUUUUGUUGGAAAAAUACAGAGGGAACAUUUACAUGCCCAAAAAAAAAAAAAAAAAAAAAAAAAAAAAAAAAAAAAAAAAGUGCAAACAAACAAAAGCCUUUAUUGAUCAGGUGGCGCCUCACCACUCGGCAGAGCUCCAGAAACGAGAGGCGUCGGAGGUUGGCUGUUUGAAGUCUCAGCAGUCGGUACAGCCCAGAAGACGAAGGUAAAUGCUGCUGAAACAAACCCACAAACCUCCGAUGAUCAAGUAAAAUCUGACCAUCAGAUUCCUGCAUCUGGUCAAUUUUCCUCUUCAUGUUUGUGGCAUAGUUGUGUGCAAGCUUGUGCAACUGUUUAUUCUCAUGCUUGAGCCCUCUGAUCUCCUGUUUGAGACUCAUCACUUCAGCCGCCAACGAUUCAACCUGACGAGUUCGAGCAAAUAGGCGUUGGGCCAUGUUGGACACAGAACCCGCACACUGCACACUAAGAGCCAGAGACUCCUUAACAGCCAACUCAUCAGACCGCCUGGAAAGUAGUCUGUUAUCUUUGGGAGUGACAAGGUUCCGGGCUACCACCGCAGCGGUCAUGUCAUUCUUCAUCACCGAAUCCCCAACAGUAAGAGGACCAGUAGGGGAUAUGAAGGAUGGGCGCCAUAUGUUAUCUGGAGAAGACGGGACUACCUCUUCACCAAGGUUCAAAUCAAAACGACGGUCGGAGGGUCCAGACAUUUUCAAAGUGUGAAGGAAGAAGAGGUCGGACGAAUCAAGAUCUUAGAAGUGCAAGAAUGGAGUUUUCACAAGUAAAAUUCAAGUGUGCUUUGAAACGAACAACGUGCCUCUAUAAAAAAUCAACACUCGACGGGAUUUCAGAGAUCGAAGAGGCGAGCUCAGAAUUCGAAGAGGCCAUUCAAAAAUCGAAGAGGCAAGCUCAGAAAUCGGAGAAGCAUCUUGCUUUUCCAGACGCGUCGGCACCCGUCACACGCAAGCUCAGCUUUGCGAAAAUCACGGGCAAUUUGUCGAAGUGCCGAUCCCAGAUAUCGAAGAGACGCCAGUCUUUUCCAGACACGUCAGCACCCAUCACACGCAAACUCAGCUUUGCGGAAAUCACGGGUAAUUUGUCGAAGCGCCGAUCCCAGUUAUCGAAUAAGCGCCAGUCUUUUCAGCCGCGUCAACACCUGUCACAUGCACACGCAGCUUGGCGGAAAUUACGGACAGUUUGUCGAAGAUUUCUGAUAAAGAAGGAAGCACGUGAAGCCAUAUAGAUCAAUCACGCAUUGGUUGCCGACACGAGUGAAAGAACAGUACCUCUACAGGUAUUAAGGAACUCCCUAUAACUGUCCACCUUCACCCUCCAUAGCAAGGCAGACAUACAUAACCUUUCUUUAUCUCCGAUAACCUUUCUUCAUCUCCGAGAAUGCUUUCCCAACGAAGCCUCUCGAGUCAUUCAGUGUUCCUUAUUCCUUGGGGUACCUCUGCAAGCCAAUGACUCCAAAGCAAAAAUAUCUCAUAUCACCAGGGUAGAAAGCAAGAGUAUCUCAUAUCAUGCGUUCUCCCUGUCCUUUCCUUUGUCCUUGUUCUUACUUACAAAGACAAGGAUAAAGAAAACAAUAUGCCGGAACCUCCACUCAAACUCGGGUAAGGAACCGACUACUUGGAACCCUUCCCUGAUUGCUUACCUAGCACUGCUCUCGAGUACUCAUUUCGCACUGCUGCUGUACUUCCAAAGAAGCUGCCACAUCUGCCUGGAGAACAGAUAAGGCAAGUGAAAAUGAUACCUUGCAGCAUGUGGAGACAAGGUGCAGAAGGAACAAGCAGAGAAGAAUGCGGUCUGCACAGUCAACUCAGCAGAAGGAGUCCGAACUGAGGAACUCGAGAAGCUACCAUAUCUGCCUGACGAAACAAGCAGAGAAGAAUGCAGCAUGCGCAGCUAAUUCGGCAGAAAGAGUCUGAGAUGAAGAACUCGUUUUGACCCUCAAAUUCUUGGGUCGACUUACUAGGCGUUGUGGGCUGCACGUGCCGAUUCACCACCCUUGAAUCAAAUCCUUAAAGACCAAGUCAGCAACUGGAAGAAGAGCCCCAUCAAUCUUGAAGAUCAUACCGUUGACCAAACUGCUCAGGUGUGAAUUAGAAAGAUUGAACAAAGCAACAAGUCGUCACCUUCACCUCGUGCCUGCUUGCCAUGUGUUCGAGUCAGCCUUCAAGAAUCAAGCAUCAACGGCCCUUGAAGAAGCUUCCAGCCAAAUUCAAAAUCAAGCCUCAACGGCCCUGGAAGAAAUCACAAGUCCGAUUCAAGAUUUAAGUGUCUACCACCCUUGAAUCAAAACCUAGUUCAAGAAUAAGCUGUGGAAAAUCAACAAUUGGAGGAAUCCAGAAAAUCCUUCAACCCAGUUCAAGAUCAAAGCUGUGGAAAGUCAACAAGCGCAACAAAAUACGUGCCGAUUCACCCACUACCAAAGCCAAAGAUCAUCUACCACAUGAAGCUCAUUGUGAUCCAAUUUCAACCUUCAAGAUCAAGCCUCGACGGCCCUUGAAGAAAUUUCAAACGAAAGUUCAAGAACAAGCCUCAACGGCCCUUGAAGAAAUCUCAAAGCCCAAUUCAAGAUCAAGCCUCAACGGCCCUUGAAGAAAUCUCCAGCCCAAUUCAAGAUCAAGCCUCGACGGCCCUUGGAUCGACAUCUACAGUAAGGGACUUCAAAACGCAUCUCAUACACGCGACAAGCACAUGUACACGACGCGACUUGAAGUGGGGGCAUUUGUAGACAUCGAAAUUUCGGUAAAUAAAUGUUGACCGAUAAAUCAAAGUGUCAACGCUCAUGUAUUACAUAAAUUUUACACGUAGCGUGUGACUAAACGAAAAUUGAAAUGAGUUGGAAAAGUCAUCAAAUAGGACACGUGUCAACACCUGGCAGAAACGACUUAUUUCAUCUGGGAUAUUAUAUUCAAAAUUAGGCCUUGGAAAAUUCUAUAAAUACAAGCCCAUUUCAUUCAUUUGAAGGGAAGGAAUUGAUAUUACACCUUGAAGCUCUGAAACUCCGAAGCUUUCAAGCAUCCAGGUUCCCGAAGAAUCAAGAAAGCCUUCUUCGUUCUUCAUUCAUCGUUCUUCCAAGAUCAAGCCCCAACGGCCCUUUGGAUCAACAAUCAUCCACCAAUUCAAGAUCAAGCCUCGACGGCCCUUGAAGAAAGUGUUCUUCGUUCUUCGUUCAUCGUUCUUCCAAGAUCAAGCCCCAACGGCCCUUGAAGAACUUCCACCUAUUCAAGAUCAAGCCUCGACGGCCCUUGAAGAAAGUGUUCAUCGUUCAUCAACCGUUCAUCCUAAGAUCAAGCCUCAACGGCCCUUUGGAUCAACAACAUCAACAAAUCCACACAUCCAACCGUUCUUCGAGAUUAAGCCCAAAAGCCCUUGAAGAUCCGUUCAUCACUGUUCUUCAAGAUCAAGCCCAAAAGCCCUUGAAGACCCGUUCAUCACCGUUAUUCAAGAUCAAGCCUCACACGGCCCUUGAAGAAACACUCAUCCUCAAGAUCAAGCCCCAACGGCUCCUUGAAGAUCCGCUCAAAUCCACCUUCAAAGAUCAAGCCCAUGGCCCCUUGAAGAAACUUCCAACAGUUCAUCCAAGAUCAAGCCUCGACGGCCCUUGGAUCAAUCAAACAUCCACAAAUACACACCUUACGGAGAUCGAAUCAGAGGAUCAAAAUAGAGAGAGAUUGUAACCCAAAAUCAUCACAAAUACAAAUAUUUUGUUUGUGCACGUUGUUCUUGUCUCCUUCGUUUCAGGAAUUUUCCGUGUUCACAGUUUCAAUCCAAAAGUUAGUUAAUAAUUAGAAGUGUCCCAAACUUGAAGUGUGUUUAGAUAAUAAGUUUUUUAAUUCGAUCAAUAUGGUAUCUUGAUUAAAAUUCAAAGUCCAAAUUAGAAAACAAUGUAUAAUAAUCACCGCAAGAAAACGAGACAAUAAUUGUAAAUUCUCUUUUCUUAUAAAAAAUAGGAAAAAGAGAGAAGAAUAACAUUAGUUGAAUGGGCGGAUGAAUAAACUAAUGAGUUGAAUAAAAGAAGGGAUAGUGCUAUUCACAUUUUUGUUUUUAUUUUUCACACAUUCUUCGUAAUUUUCGGUUGUCAGAUCAAAUAAAUUGAAGAAUAUCACUGAUAAAAAACUAACAAGGGUGUGCAAAUGUAAAAAUAAGUGUGUGAAUAGUACUUUCAUAAAAGAAGUAUCAGAUAUAUCAUGGCUUUGUUAAUUACACAAAGACAUACCUAAUUAUAACAUCUCUAGAAAUUUAGGACUUGUUUGGAAUUUUUUUUAAAAAUGACUGAAAAUAGUUUUAGAAAAAAAUAUUUUUGAGUUUCAAAACAACUUGAAGUGUUGCUUCUUGGGUUUAUUUAUAGAAAUUAUACCUAUACCAAAAUUGGGUUGAAAAACGUUAUUCACCAAACGUGUUUUGACAAAAUACCCUUUGUUUUUCUUUCCAUUCCUGCUUUGUUUUAUAAUGUGGAACAUGUUGUAAAAUCGACAGUGGGUGCAGUGGAAUAAAUGAAACAAGACACAAAAUUUACGAGAUUCCUCUACAGUCAGUGUGACUGGAGUACGUCCUCGGGGCAGCAGUGGUGCUUUCAUUAUAAUUUAGAAUAAUAGGAGUACAAAGAUAACUCUCUCUAUUAUCUCCUCUCCUCUUCCUCUCCUUUCUCUCUUCCUCUCAUUUUCUCUCAUCCUUUCUUUCUUCCUAUCUCUCCGUGAGUCUUCCCACUUUGAUGUUGUGUGAGGUUUGUAUUUAUAUAGAAAAUAGGAGUAGUGUGUAGCAAGCUUCAGCAACCAAAAUGAAGGGCCAAUUAUUUAAUUAUUUAAAUGGACAUCCACUGUUCUACAACACUCCCCAUUGGAUGGCCAUAAGUCUUCGAUUGACUCGUUAAAAUCUGGAUCUGUUUUGAAUGCUUCCCCUGAUGAGUAUCUCCCCUGAUUUCAAAUCAUUUAGGCUGAUCGUUGAUCAUUCUGCUUCAGUCUCUUAGCAAAAAGAGUUUCCAAAAGAAGUGCUUUACUUGUUGUUAACUUUCCACAGGCUUGUUCUUGAACUGGGCUGAAGGGCCUUCUGUUAGACUUCCUCCAAAGGUUUGAAUUUACUUUUUUUAUUUGGAGCUAAAUUUAAUUCAAAUGUGGUGGACACUUGAUCCUGAAUCGGACUUGUGAUUUCUUCAAGGACAUUCGAAACUUGAUCUUGAAUGAAGUUAUACCGUGAGAAGCUUCACGUGGCAAGUGAUCUUCGGCUUUGUCGGGGAUGAAUUAGCACGUGUUUGUUGCGCUUGUCUCCACAUACUUCAAUGUAUCAUUUUCACUUGCCUUACUUGUUCCCCUUGCUUAAGUAGUAUUUUCCCUGGUUUUCCCCUAUGCAUGUGUGGCAUAUUCUCCUGUAGUAUUUGCCUUUUGAUGCAGGAGUGGAAUGCAACCCUUGCAUUUGGAUGGUUCAUCACUUCUUGGUGACUGGAGACCCAGCUCCAACAACAGUUGAAGAUGGCUACUCGAGAGCAAUACUAGCUAAGCAAUUAGGAAAGGUUUCAGGCAGUCGGUUCCUUACCGGGAGUUGGAGUGGAGGUUCCGACAUAUUGAUUUCUUUAUCCUUGUCUUUGCAGGUAAGAACAAGGACAAAGGAAAGGACAAAGAUAUUGCAUGAUAUGAGACACUCUUACUCUCGUCCAUGAAGAUAUGAGAUACUCUUGUUUCGGUGUGACUUGUUUGAAGAGGUAUUCUCGGAGAGGAAGAAAACUGAGUAUUUCGAGAUGCUUUAUUGAAGAUGCAUUCUCGGAGAUGAGAGAAAGUUAGGAGUUUUGGAUGUGUGCCUUGCCAUGGACGAUGAAGGUCGACUUAUAUAGGGAUUUCCCCAAUAGCAGGUAGUGGUGUUGUGCCUUUACUCUUGUCAGCAACUGUGGUGUAAUUAGAACAGUAAGAUUUACGCGUUUUCAACUUUGUCAGAGAUCUUUGACAAAGUUGCACGCGAUAGCAGAAAAAGCUGAGAUUGUGUCUGAAAAAUACCAACGAACUUUAUUCAGGAAAAUCUGGCUUUUGAAAUUCGGAUAGCAGUGCCUCUUCGAUCUCUCAACAAGUAGUUCUGUUGCCUCUUCUUUUAUCGAGAUAUCAAUUAUGUUCAAGAGUAUGCUCAGAAAGUUGCUGCCUGUAGAAAUUUUCCCCUUCUUGCACUUCUUGCACUUCUGAGAUUUUAUUUAACCUCUUCUUUUUUUCAUCAUUUCUGAAAAUGGCUUACCCAUCUAACAUUUGCUUAGAUUUGAGUCUUAGGAGUGAUAUAGACGAGCAGCGUCAGGAUAACAUAUGGUGCCCGUCCUUCUUAUCUUCUAAUGGUCCUCUUACAAUUGUGGACUCUGUGAUGAAGAAUAACAUAACCGCUACUGUGGUAGCUAGGAAUUUUCUCACUCCAAAGGAUAAUAGAAUCAUUUCAAAACAAUCUGAUGAGUCGGCCGUUCAAGACUCUUUAGCUCUCAGUGUUCAGUGUGCUGGCUCUGUUUCUAAUAUGGGUCAACGCUUACUUGCUCAAACUCGCGAAGUUAAAUCAUUGAUGGCUGAGGUGGCAAGUCUUAAAUAAGAGAUUAGAGGGCUCAAGCACGAGUGUUACACGUGCUUGCAAAUAAUUACUCUACGAGCAUGAAAAGAAAGCUCAACCAGCUGCAGGAAUCAAAAAGUCGAACUCAAAACAGUCACCAAAAGUUCGUUGCUAGAUUUCGAAAGUAACUGAUGCCUUCCCCUUUUGGUGUUUUGCCGAGUACUAGGGUGUCAUAUGAUCAAUCUCCAGUGCCUCCUCAUUAUGGGGUACUUCCGAGUACUGAGGCUUCACAUGAGCAACCUUUGUGAAGGCUCCAUCCUGUUUGUUUGUUUUGACUCAUGUGUAUGCACAUAUCUGUAAUUUCUCGGAGAUAUUAAUAGAUAAGCUUUAUUUCAUUCAGUGUAUUGUGCCAAAUACAAUAAAGCAUAUACUUCACUAAGAUGUGGUACUUUUGGACCAAACAUUAAUUUAUCUUUACCCUCACGAAGAUAAAUGAUCUUUCUUAGUGUUUACAUCAUUUGAGUAUUCAACUCAUAAUCUUUAAUCCAUAUGGUUCUUUUAAUAUCAUAGACAUCAUGGAUAAGAUUCGUGUUGGUAUAUUGUUUGAUCUGCAGCUCGAGACAAUAUUUCUCUCAACACUUUAUAAUCUUUCUUGACUCUUUAGGAGUCUCAAUUUAAUAUCAUCAACUCUUCAGGAGUUCUAAUUUAAUGUCAUUGACUCUUGCAAGAGAUUUUAGUAUGUUGCAACAAUAUCAUAAUGAUAGUACUCACUAAGGCAAUUUAUACCAUCCAUUGGUAUUGAGUACAUAAUUUAGGCUUUACCCUUCGGGGGCUUACUUCAAGCAAUUUGAAUCAUUCAGGGAUUUUCUACACUUCAUGACACAUUUUCCUUUGGAAUUUAUACAGUGCAAUUUGCUCCCAUGUAUACUUGAGGGAUUUACUUAUGGAGAUAUGAUGUGGGUGACUCACAACCCUUCGUAUAUAAUUCUCCAUUCAUAUGAACUCGUUUACAAGAGUAUAAUUAGUAACCUUGUGUCAUAUCAUGUAAGUGUAUUUCAUUAUAUUACCAAUGCUUAUAUGUAACCUUAUUGGUUCAACAUAUUUUGGCUAUUCAAAUAUAUAUAGGUCCAUUUUUCCACGUUCUUACAAAAUUGUAAUGGAAUCGCCUUUCUCCAUUUUUGGCCAAUAAUUUUGUUGACGAAAAAGAAUGAGACUCAAUAUCAACACAGCUCAUUGAUGAAUUUAGUAGCUACUUAUAAAAACCAAAAUUACCAUUGGUUAUCAUCAAUCCGUGAUCCCAUAUUCUCAUGUGCAUGCGCAUGCAUAAAAACUUUUCAUUUCUUUGGAUAUCCAUUGCCUCUCCAAGGGCAUUACACUAUCUAUUUCAGGAUAGUCAUAAUUUAGAGAAUGCGGAUCAUAACCUCUUCUUGAGCGUUAUAGAGCUUGAAUUUUAAUUUCCACUUCUAGGAGUUGAGUCAUUGGAACCUAUGCAUCUAUCAUGCUUCAUGCAUGAGACAUUAAUAUUCCCAUGUCCGUGGAUUGUCCUUUUUGGGACGUAUAUCCAUACGGCGACUGUCAUGCUUCUGGCAUGCAACAAUUAUGCUUCGGGAAUGCAAUAGUUCAAUAGUGCCAUAUUCUUCUUCUUUCGAAUGACUGAACGUUUUGAGUCUAAGGGUCUGCCAUGCUUCAGGCGUGCAACAGAUAAAUCAUUUAUCGCCUCAUUAUAUUGUCUAACAGGGACAUUAAUUCUUGUAGGCACAUUUGCAGCAAGUAAAUGUGAUUUUAUCACUUUCGUUGCAUUAUUAAAUGCAUCUGGCAUUUGAUUGAAACAUCGUUGCAUCAUUCAAUUAUUCUUACUUCAUUUUCAUAUUGAUUGCUUCGUGAAUCAAAAUAAGACAAAUUCUCUUCGUUCUUCUGGAACGGUCUUUUCUUAUCAUUCUUCUGGAAUGAUAUUUUCUCAUCAUUCUUCUGGAACGAUAUUAUUUUCUCCCCCUAACAGCGGGAAUAUUGUCUUAUCAAAAUGACAGUCUGCAAACCACGCGGUAAACAUAUCCCUAGUCAAGGGUUCCAAAUAUUGAAUGAUAGAUGGUGCAUCAAAUCCAACAUAAAUUCCCAGUUUGUAUCGAUGCCUUAUUUUAGUACAUUAUGACAGUGCAAUAGGAACGUAGAUAAUAUAACCAAAAACUCGUAAAUGUAUAAUGUUUGGCUAGUGCCUAAACACGAGUUGUACUAAGAAAUAUCGAUGGUUGGUAACUGGUCUCAACCAAACUUAAUAGUGAAUUAUGUAAAAUGGCAUGUCCAUAAGUAGAAAACUUGCAAUUUCGUUUUCAUGAGCAGAGCGUGGGUAAUCAAUUUCAUCCGCUUAAUAAAUGCUUCUACUAAACCAUUUUAAGUAUGGACAUAAGGAACUUCUGGUCCUAUUAAAUAGUUUGUGGAUUGAGACUUUUAUGACCUUUAUUACAAUUAAGUUGAGGUACUGCGGCACUUCAAACUUAAGGUACUUAUCAAGAAACUUCAUGUCCGAUCUUGAGGAUCUAGGGAUUUCAUGCCUGAUCUUUUUGCAUGAUGGAACUUCGGGUUCAAUCAUUUUAUGUGAUGAGGAUCAAGAAACUUCAGGUUCUGAUCUGAUCAAGGAACUUUGGGUCUUAUAUAUACUUAUCGUAACAAAAGGUAAGUACAAUAAAUAAAUUAAAGCAAUAGGCAGUAAUUCCAGACAUAGUAAAUAAAUUGCAUUUAAGUAAAUAAAGCUUGUGACAAGGGCUUUAAUUUAACACCAUUCAUAUAAAUCAAAACUUAAAGCAGUAGGCAGUAAAACUGUCCAUGAUAAAUAAAUUGCUUUAAAGUAAAUAGAACUUGUGAAAGUGUUUUAAACCAACACCAUUCACAUAAAUAAAUAUAUAUAUAUAUAUAUAUAUAUAUAUAUAUAUAUUUUCUUUCUUUUCUAAUGGUACAACACCAUCCAAAAGCUUUUAUGUCACAUCCCGGCCUGGGGUGGACCACUUCCCAGGCCCGCUCCACCACCGUAGCACGAUAUUGUCCGCUUUGGGCUUACCACGCCCUCACGAUUUUGUUUCUGGGAACUCACGAGCAACUUCCCAAGGGGUCACCCAUCCUGGGAGUGCUCUGGCCUCAUUCUCGCUUAACUUCGGAGUUCCUACGAAACCUAAAGCCAGUGAGCUCCCAAAAGGCCUCGUGCUAGGUAGAGAUGAGAAUAUACAUUUAAGAAUUACUCCCCUAGGUGGGUGAUGUGGGAUGUUACAUUUUAUCUUUUUUGUUUUUAUUAUUUCUUUUUCACAUGUUGUGUCGGCAUUAUGCAACAAGAUUCCACCCUUUUUUCAUAUAGCACCAAAACCCUUUUUAUUAUUUUUCAUUCAAAUGGUGCAGAUGCAUCAUUAGAAACCUUUGUCCAAAAAGUCCACUUUUCCAAUUCUUUUUCACACGGUGCUUGAAACACCAUUCCAUAAUCCCUCCUUCAUUUUUCUUAUUUGUCUGUCUGUACUAGUCUUAAACCCAGGGCCAUUUGGGUUGUUGUGGAGGUCACACAGAACCUAUUCAAUCCAAUAAGGCUACCAGAGACUGGCGUUAUUCUUGCAUGGCCCAGAGAACAUGGCGUCAACAAAGCAAGAACUUCCCUAUAGGGACAUAGAUGAUAGCGGAGUUGAUGGAGGUACAAGAGAGGGAGGCAUGUGUGGAGUCAGUCAUGCCAUCACCAUCUCAGACAACCGAUUAUUCAUGGGAGUUCUCGAGAUCUGUCAAAAACGACGCUAUCUGGGUUUCCAAGUCUGAUGAGAUUCUUCUGGAUCUCUGGAAACCAAUUGUCAAGUACGAGUUUUCUCAUCUCGUGACGACUUCAGGUCGUUGUAAAUUUCAAUUCUUACUGGAAUUUGGUGGGGCGCUUCAGGCGCAGUGGAGAGACAGAAAAUGGACAUACCUUUUAUUAUGUGAUAUUUUGGCUAGCAGAGGUAAGAGGUAGGUAACGCUUUACCAGAUUUAUGGCGUUGUGCUUUCCAUUGACAUGAGAGCUUCUCGUGCUGAUAACGUGUUGUAAAAUCGACGGUGGGUGCAGUGGAAUAAAUGAAACAAGACAAAAAAUUUACGAGAUUCCUCUACAGUUAGUGUGACUGGAGUACGUCCUCGGGGCAGCAGUUGUGCUUUCAUUAUAAUUUAGAAUAAUAGGAGUACAAAGAUAACUUUCUCUAUUAUCUCCUAUCCUCUUCCUCUCCUUUCUCUCUUCCUCUCUUUUUCUCUCAUCAUUUCUUCCUUCCUAUCUCUCUGUGAGUCUUCCCACUUUGAUGUUGUGUGGGGUUUGUAUUUGUAUAGAAAAUGGGAGUAGUGUGUAGCAAGCUUCAACAACCAAAAGGAAAGGCCAAUUAUUUAAUUAUUUGAGUGGACAUACACUGUUCUACAACAUAACAUGGUAUUUAGAAAUUUUCCCUUUGAUACCUGUUGGCUACGUGUGCCAACGUGGGACUUCCAGACAUCAUUGAUAAUCUCGGAAGGGAGAAAUUUUUAAUUGUGAUAUGAACAUGAGUGGUACAUCAUGUGUUUUUAUGUAACUGAUGAGAAAUUUUACUUUUUAAGUUAGUAGCUUUUUAACACACAUAUCCCACUAUUUGUAUAAUGACACGUGGUGUACCACCUCGUGUGUUGGUCACAAUGAAAAAUCUAUUGAAGUAAGGGGUAUUUCCCCCUUUUUUUUCUCUCGAAUUCUCUCUAUAAAAACUAAACCACGGCCGCCACUUUUCUUAUCCCCCAACCGCCGAUCUCGUCACAGUUUGGUAUGAACCAAAUGGAUUUCUUUUUAAAACAAAUCGACAUGACUAUGAAUAUAUCAGCCGACUUGAAGGAUUCGAUGGUCACAUACAUUAUUUGAGUAUAUUAUGUGUGUGCUUUUUUUUUUAUUGGUGAAUUAUCAUGUGUGUGCUUUAAGUAAUAGUUGGAUCACCUGCAAAGAACUCUAUGGUCUCAUUUUCUAGAAAGUAAUGACAACUAUCAUGCAUAAGACUAAAAGCAACCACACAAAAGUCUUUUUAGCCACCCACAAGUCGAAAACUACUAUUGUGCAUGUCACAUAAGCAAAAUUUUCACUCUUCCAACUUUCUAGCCAAUCGUGCAAAUUAUUGGUAAAUUUGACGGUGAUCGCAUUAACCUUCUCUUCAAUGCAUGACAUGUGGAAAAAAUCAUCAUCAAACAGAAGUUUGAUAUUAUGCACGUGUCCCAUCUUUAUUUGCGCGUUUGUGUUUGUUUUUUAUUUCAAUAGGUUGAAGAAAAAAAGCACUGGCUCGAGCAAGAAGGCUGCAAGGGUCCGAACAAGCUUAAGAGGCUUGCAAGUUGCAAGUACCUUCUUCGUUUUCAUGUAUGUUUCGCUUUUACUAUAAUUUAGUUUUUCUAGUUAUAAUUGUAUAAAUUUUUCGUUCAAUUUAAUAUAAAGGUUCAGCUCAAAAGUUUAAGAUUUAUAAUCCACUUUGUUUCGAUUUUUGAUCUCUUGGUGUUUCAAAGACAAAAAACAACACACGAUCCACAUAUCAAUAAAAGGCUUUUAGUCCAUUCCCAUUUAUAGAAUUUUGCCGACUCUACUGCUGUAAAAGGGGCUUAAUAGUGCAAAAGUACGAAACGAAACAAAAAGAGGAAGGGCGAGAGAGAGAUGCAAUUGGGUAUUUGUCGGAUCGAAGCUCUUCCAUACCCUUCCAUUAUCUCCACCGACUCCUUGACUAAAAGAGAGUGUUUUUUGUCUCAUUUUCUCAUCAUAGCUAAAGCUAGAAAGUAUGUUUCAUAUUUUCCCUGUCCGCAACUGGGAUUAGGAGAAAGAGAUUGAGAGAACAGAGGUUGAUCUAAAUCAUCAAACACAAGCAUAUGCCUGAUUCCAUUUGUCAACUUACAAUUUGAAUAGCUUGGGUAACGAUUCUGUUGACCCUAAAAACUAUCAGGUCUACGUGGCCCACAGACCGAGUAAUUAAUAAGCUAACUACGUCAUUCGGUUAUGUGCAGGGCGUGCCAACUCGACGGCCAAGCUCGAUCGGGGAGUAAAAUGUGUUGUUGUGUUGGGCAUUGCUGACUUCUUGAUCCUGCUAUUGCGGCUGAGGUAGAAACACAUCUAACCUUUUGGGUUCCAGAGCUUGAAGACACGGCUGCUAGUUCUGUGAAUUUACAAAUCGUCAGCGUCGGGUUCGGUCAUGGUGAUUAUAUUCGUAAUAGUAUAACCACACCGAACUAGCACCAGACUAUAUGGACACAAGUACUCGAAAGUGACGUAUGUCUUGAUAGUAAAUGUGGUUCAACCGUCGGAAUGUCGGACUCUGAAUCUCACUUGCGAAUAUCCAAUCAUAAAACAACUCGGCGUUCAAUGUGCCGAGCCUAGUAACCUGUAACACCUCACUUCGUUGAGAAGGUUGAUGAGAUGACCUCUACCAGCAAGAACUCGAAAGUCACUAUCGACCGGGACUUGGAUAAAUAACCAGUAGGUCUCGAAGCAGUGCUGUUUAUCCAAACUGAAGGAGGUGCUCCUCGGUCGGUUGAUUCUACGGCUCCAGUACUGUGCUACAUUGGUUCUGUUAAUAAAGCUUCUUGGUUUCGGUGUUGUGCAGGUUGAAUGGUAAGAAGAUGUUGAGAUUGUUGACGGGGAAGCGUCUGGUUUUUGUAGGCGAUUCUCUCAACAGGAACAUGUGGGAGUCUUUGCUAUGUGUUCUUAGAAACUCAGUGGAUGAUAAGAACAAAGUCUAUGAAGUUUCUGGUAGGCAAGAAUUUCGCACAGAGGGCUCUUACUCCUUUGUUUUCGAGGUAUGUUAGUUUCAAUUUCAUAGACUCAUAAAUUCUUCCUUCUUACCUUUCGGCCUUGUUCAUCUUAUUAAGUAAUAUUAAUGUAUUUGUUGUUCAAUGGAUCAAUAGGAGUACAACUGUUCCGUGGAGUUCUUUCAAUCACGGUUUCUAGUUCAAGAAUGGGAGAUGCUGGAACCAAGUGGAUCAAAGAAGGAAACGCUUCGCAUUGAUUUGAUUGAGAGAUCCUCUGACAACUACAAAAAUGCAGAUGUUCUCAUCUUCAACACAGGUCACUGGUAGACUCAUGAGAAAAACUUCCAGCGGGUAAUUCUCCUGCUCCAAUUCACUCUAUGUCAUGGAUUUUUUGGAAAGUAGUCACUAGGCAGCGAAGUUAAAAUAUUUAUAAAUCUUGCAGGAAGGGUUACUAUCAAGAGGGUAGCCAUAUUUAUGGUGAACUGAAUGUUGACGAUGCAUUUCGCAAGGCUUUAACGACAUGGGCUCGAUGGAUAGACACCAAUGUAAAUCCUAAGAAAACUGCUGUUUUCUUCCGGGGCUAUUCACCUUCUCACUUUAGGUACAUUUUGAAGACAUGAAAUACUUCAACUUGGUUAACAAAUGUAUUGCAUCUUGCUAAUCUUUUUACUCACAGAGGCGGAGCAUGGAAUUCUGGAGGGCAUUGCCAUGGCGAAACAAAGCCAACUACCAGCUUGGAAUCCACGGAAUAUGGAGGAGCGUAUCCAACAAACAUGAAAAUCUUUGACUCGGUACUCAAGGGGAUGAAGACGCCAGUCAACUAUCUGAACAUUACAACAAUGACUGAUUUUCGGAAGGAUGCUCAUCCAUCGAUUUACAGAAAGCCGAAUUUAACUGAGGAGGAGCGAAAACCGCCUAUGAUCCACGAUUGCAGUCACUGGUGCCUCCCUGGCGUUCCUGAUACAUGGAACGUGCUAAUAUAUGCUCAACUCCUCAAACAUAACCAGAAACAACAUAGACAGAAGAAACAGCAAAAUCAGAGGACAACUUCUUAAAUAUGGAGAAAAAAAAUUAUAAAGUAUACAUGUUUUGUUGGAAAGCUCACCGUACGGAGAAUAUCGAACAAGUAUGAUCAAACGAAGGAUAAGAGCAAUAGUUGUAGACUUGUAGUUAGAAAAAGAGGUGGCGCAAUGUGGUUUAGUGAAAAAUUGUGUUUCCAGUUGUGGGAUAGAGGUGGUGAGGGAAACAGGAUUUAGCCCUUGCGUCCUCUCUGGUGCAUUUGAAGGAGAGGCUUGAAAAAUCGGUGACUCGAAACAGCGAGUGCCGGUGAUCAUGGUGGUCGCAGAAGCUGGUUUUGGUAUUGAGAAGGUCAUGAAUAUAAAAUUCUGGUAUGGUACUGGUUUAACGCCACAAUGUGCAGUUGUGGUUGCAACUUUAAGAGCCUUAAAAUGCCUGCAUGACUGAGACUGUGGCUGAAGCCGGUUACAUGAAAUUUUCCAGGCAUGUCUCAAACACGAAACACUAGAGUGUAAGCGUGGUUGUUACUGCAAACAAAUUUUCGAUUGAUAGUGAAGCAGAACUAAAUGCAGUCAGAAAUAUGCAGCAUUGUGCAGCCGGGGCAUAUGAGCACUUAAUUAUACUCAUCAUGCACUUUGUGGAAAAGAAGCGGUUAGUCACUUCAUCCCAUUAGUCUUAUUAUUGGCAAUAGGAAUUGGACAUCAAUUUCUUGUAUCCGAAGAAAUGAGUCACUAUUAAUAUCGACACAUAUGAGAUCGCCAGCCCUUCGGGAGUUCCUCUAUUUUCUUCUUGCUUGCAAGUGCCUUCGCCUAUGAGCGGUAGGUCUCGGGUUCGAGACUUGGGAGCAGCCUCUCCAUAAAUGGGGGUAAGGCUAGCCGACAUUCACCUCUCCCAGACCUUGUGUAAAGCGGGAGCCUUGUGCACUGGGUACGACCUUUUGCAUUGCAGAUCCUACUAAAACUUUCAAUCCCAGUUUUAUACUGUGGUUGGAACAACGAGCACAAUGCCGGAUUUUCUGACUAGGCCUCGCUUCUAUCACAUUGAUCUUGACACCACCUAUCGGAAAUUAGGUUAUCAGUCUUGCUUGAAAAUCAAUGUAUAUGGCUCUCAUAUGCUCACCGAAGCAACAUUUUCCGACGUCCAUCAAACAAAAGCCGGCCACCAUCUCUUCCCCCUUACAAAUUACACUUCUGCAAACUUCUGUUAUUGUGCUCUUUGAUUGUUAUGUCAGUUUUUUGCAUUACCAAAUAACAAUGUCACAAAUAAAAACAAAUUUUUGUGUCACCUUUUUUAGCUUGCUACGAACAAAUGCUGUUAAAAUUUUACCACAUUAUAAUUUCCUCUUUCAAACAUUGACUCCACUCUUUUUUUAACUAUUAUUAAGGAGAGAGAAGACUCGAAACUAUUACAUUAAUUUAAGAGAUGUGGAGUUUCAAACCCGAAAUGCAUGUAGGGUUGGAAGCUUCUCGGGUUCGAAACAUCGAAUCCACUCUGCAUGCCACUUUUACUACGAAAAAGGCAACCACUUUAAUUUUGUUUUAUUAUCAUUCUUGGCUGUUCAUGAUUUCACUUUAACUACAUAACAUUUAAUUGAUAAUUACUCAAAUCAAAAAAAUAUUGGUUCAGUGUUAGAACAUUUAUCUUGGUAUUCUAAUGAAAGAAAAAAAUAAUUGAACUCAUACUGCUAUCAUAUUUAUGAUAUGGAUAAGUGUGUAUAAUACAUGUAUAUAGAAAUCAGACAACUUAAAUUUAAUAUUUAUAACACUACUGAUACACUAAUGUGAGUUUACUUCGUUAAUAUCACACUUAUGAGCGUAAUAUAUCACAAUCAUAAGUUCAAUAUAUUGCUAUCAAACUCAAUUUUUUUGACCAACUGCAAUGCAAGAGUGUGACUCCUAUAUAUGUAAAUAUAGGGAUGUGAUAUCUACACACCCUUUUUUACUUCUCUCACACCCUUUUAAUUUUCGGCCGUCGGAUCGGAUGAAUUGAAGAAGAUUAAAUGAAAAAAAUUAACAAGAGGUGUGAGACCCUGUAAAUAAAAAAAGGUGUGAUAAGAUUGUUAAUAAAUGGAUAUACUGUUAUAAACGAAUGAAUUGGUAAAAUUAUCAAAUAAUGUGUGGUCACGCAAAAAAAUUACUCCAAAUCAAAGUGAGAGGGACGUGAGAUAUUUUUCUUACAAAAAAAAAAAAAAUAUGCCACUUGUUCAUAAAUUAUUAUUACAUCUGCAUUUGUUUUUUAUGUUCAAUUACAUCUGCAUUCUUAUAUUCAAAAAUAGCAACUUUCAACCGUGCAAGUAGACUAAAGGUUGAUUUGAUAUUGCUGUUAUUUGAAAAAAAAUUACUUCUGUUGUAUUGUGAGAAUAAAUAGUUGUGAAAUAAAGCAGUGUUUGGUAAACUUUUUUUGUAAAAAUGCUUUUGAAAAAAAAAAGCAGUAUUAUAGUAUUUAAUAAACUUUUAUGUAAAACAGAUAUAAAAAAAAGUUGAUUUUUCAAAGUUGGGUUUUGCAGCUUUGUGUUUUUGAUUUUUUUUCCACUCAAAACUGUGAAAAAAAACAAAAACCAAAUGUUUACCAAAUAUAAAAACAUUUUUUGAUAGCCAUUUUUUUUUCACAAUUACCUCAAUACAAAGAGCUAACCACCAAACUGAAAAGUGGUCUUCUUCACAGCAGAAACUGUAUGGAAAAUUAAUUCUUCCACCCACACAGGUCACAGGCUCGCAAACAAUGGCGGAUUACUCAACCCAGACAACCCCAAAACCCACAAAGCACCACCACUCCCCCACAAUCCCAAGACCAGAGGCCUUCUCCAAGCCCUCUCUUUCUUCCCCAAUCUUCUUCCCCUCCAGAAGAACCGCCGCCUUUGCCUAUGGCUUCUCGUUCGUCUGCAUCGCUUGCACUUUCUUCCUGGUUUUCAACCCAUCUGGCUACUCUUUCCCUUUCGGCUUCAAGAACAUCUUCAAAACCCCUUUUGAACUUUCCCGGGAAACCCCAUUUUCCUGGAAAGCUGAAUAUUUCCCGCGUUUGGAUGAGAGUGUAGGUUUGCAGUCUGAUAUGGCUAGUGCCCAACUGCCGAACCCAAUUCUUUUCUUGCCCCAAGAAUCCAAUCAGACUUUGUCCCAGAACACUACGAUUCAAGUAACUGGGAAAAUGGGAUUUUCCGGGAAACUGGAGGGUUCAAAGAAAAAAUGAAUCUUUUGCUAAAGAUUCUGAUGGGGUUUUGGGGCAAGCAGUGGCAUUGACCUCGAAAGAGAGUGAUGAUGCUAGUGAGGCAUUGUCUGAAUCUGAGAAGCAGAGCAAUCAAACUCAGCCCGGUUAUGAAUUUUCGAGGGAUGAUUGUGACCUGUUUGAUGGAAUGUGGGUGAGAGAUGAUUCGUAUCCGCUUUAUGCUCCGGGUUCUUGUCCUCUUAUUGAUGAAUCCUUCAAUUGUUUUCUUAAUAAGAGGCCGGAUAAUCGCUACGAAAAGUAUAGAUGGCAACCCAAACAUUGCAAUCUUCCAAGGUGCAGGGCUGUUUUUACUUCUGAUUUAAAAGCAUGUUUUGUUUGUACAUUGCAUUGCAUUUGGUUUUGCUUCUAAAUUAAGGUAAUUUUGCAUGACUAGUUCGACUUCUAAAGUUAGCAGUUUUAGGAAUUUGUGCUUGUUAUGGUUGUUUUUCAUAAGUGCAAAUUUACUUGUUUGCAAAUUAAUCUUGUGAGGAUCAAUAUAACAAUUACUUGUUAUGACAGUUUAAAAUUCACACUGAAUUUCUGUUUUUAAAAACAACGGAGUUUCGUUGUGUGUACUAAUGUGUCUGCGUGUGUAUGUUUAUGUUUUAUGCUUAUGCAUUCGUGUAUUGUUUUUGUUGAAUAAAGCUUGUUGGUUCAGAUUUGGUGAUGCCGGUUUCUGGUGAACUUUUUGUGCAGGUUGGAUGGUAAGAACAUGUUGGGACUAUUGAGAGGAAAGCGACUGGUUUUUGUUGGGGAUUCUCUUAAUAGGAAUAUGUGGGAGUCUUUGCUUUGUCUUCUUCGAAAUUCAGUGGAUGAUAAAAGUGGAGUUGUUGAAGCGUUGGGUAGGAGCGAAUUUCGUUCAGAGGGAUCUUACUCUUUCGUAUUCAAGGUAUGUUCGCUAUCUUGGAAUUCAAGGUAUGUUCUCUGACUUGGAAUUCAUAGCCUGAUAAAUUCUUCCUUCUCUCCAUUGGAUUUGUGUCGUUGCUGAAUUUCAUUUUGACCAGAGUGAAUUAGAUAGUUCACAACACUAGACCAGAUAUAAUUUGCUAAUGACUUGAGAAUUCAAACAAGUAGAAAUAUUUACGUGUUUUUUUUUUUCUGGAGUGGAUGAAUAGGAGUACAAUUGCUCAGUGGAAUUCUUUCGAUCGCCAUUUCUAGUUCAAGAAUGGGAGAUGGCAGAUGCAAAUGGAUCAAUAAAGGAAACGCUUCGCCUUGAUUUGAUUGAGAGAUCCUCCGAUAAGUACAAAACUGCAGAUGUUCUCAUCUUCAACACAGGUCACUGGUGGACUCAUGAGAAAACUUCCAGAGGGUAAAACUCAUUCUCCCUCUCACUCUAUGUCAUUAAUUAAUUUUCGGAACUCGGAAAUACUAAACGAAUAUAAGAAUCUUGCAGGAAGGGUUACUAUCAAGAGGGUAGCUACAUCUACGAUGUAUUGAACGUUAAAGAGGCAUUUCGGAAAGCUUUAACAACAUGGGCAAGAUGGGUGGAUACCAACAUAAAUCCUGAGAAAACUAUUGUUUUCUUCCGGGGCUUUUCACCUAAUCACUUUAGGUACAUAGACCACAUCCAGUACUUCUUAACUUUUAAAACCUCACAGUUCGUUCACAAAUAUACAGCAUCUUCAUAAACCUUUUACCCUUUGCAGAGGUGGAAGAUGGAAUUCGGGAGGGCAAUGCCAUGAUCUAAUAGAGCCACUUGCAAAGGAGACAAAUAGAGGAAAAUAUGCAUCAAAAUUGAGAAUAUUUGACUCAGUAAUCACUGGAAUGAAGACGCCAAUAUUCUAUCUAAACAUUACGAGAAUGACUGAUUUCAGGAGGGAUGCUCAUCCAUCGAUUUACAGAAAGCAGAAUUUUACAGAGGAGGAGCGGAAAUCGCCUUUGAGACACCAGGAUUGCAGUCACUGGUGCCUCCCUGGUGUUCCUGAUACAUGGAAUGAGCUUCUAUAUGCUCAGCUCGUUCGACAUAACCAGAAGCAACAACAACAGCAGCGUCAAGACCCACAGCAACAGAAACCCUAGAUAAAUGAUUAGACAGAUGCCUUGUAUAGAUGGGAUCAUGUCAAAAUAGUUUUGGAGAAAAUGUUUUCUGUUGCAUCUUUCUAUAGAAUUGUAGAAGGAAACAAAAUGAUGUGAUAUUCUUUGUAAAAUUGAGUCUCGGUAAUAUAAGCUGAUAAUAUCUUUUUGUGCAAAUGGAAGUAAGAUGAUAAUUGUGAGUUCUGUCAUAUGAGUUAGAAGAUGAGAUCGUUGCUCUCGUAGCCAUGGUCGUCACAACCAUCAUACGAAGCAAAAGCUUAACUAGGUUUACGAUUACACAACCUUAAUUAUUUCAAAUAAUGCUCAAUACCAGAGUAGCAGAAGAUACAUAUGUACGGUGUUAAACAAACAAACUGUUCCACAUGAAGCAAGUGAAUGAGAUCAGUCGGUAGACUCAGCACAGCCUUAGGAGAAAGGCUUAACUACCACCAAAUAGGCAAUGUGAUGGUAUUCCAAACUAAUUUCGCACUACAUGUGAGCGAUCGAUAUUUAUUUAGAAAAUAGUCACAAUGGCGUACACGUUGUAGCUGUAAGUCCUUCUCCAGCCCCGUUUAAAGAACACGUGAAAUAUGCAUAUAUGAAUCUCUACGGUGUGAAGGAAACAAAAUGCUCCAAUGUAGCAAGUGAGAUCACUCAGCACGGCCCAGGAAGAAAGACUUGCCUACACCGAAUGUGCACAUCUGAUCUGACCAUUGUGUUAAUUUAAUUUGUAGAAAUGAAACUAGGGGCUUAAAAAAUUGAGGAAUAUUCAGCAGCAUAAAGGUGAUGUUACCACUAGUUGUAGAAACAUGGGGGUCUUUGGAUUGUUUGAUGGAUGUGUUUUGAGUCAAACAAUUACUGGAAGAGCAUAGAAUUUCCGUUAUGUUGGUUUAUGAUUAACUUCUUUUGCAGGUUGGAUGGUAAGAACAUAAUGGGAUUAUAGUGAGGAAAGCGCCUAGUUUUUGUUGGUGCGUGAUUCUCUUUGAGGGAAUAUGUUAGAUCAUCCAUCGGUCUGUGUCUUGUUAGAAGUUCAUUGGAUGAUGAGAGCGGAGUUGUUGAAGCCUCUCGUAGGAGCAAAUUUCGUACACAAGGAUCUUGCUCGUUCAUAUUCAAGGUAUGUUGUUGAGUUGUUCAUUAGCCAUUUCGUUACAAGCAGAGUGAAUGAGAAAGUUCGCACCACUGGAUACAAUUUGCUAUGACUUGAGAUUUCCAAUUCAAACAAGUAGAAAUUUAUGUUUGUUGUAGAAUGGAUCGAUAGGAGUAUAACCGUUCGGUAUAAUUCCUUUAAUCACCAUUUCUAGUUCAAGACUAGGAGAUGCCUCCUGGUUAACUGAGUUUUCUUCUGCCAUUCUUUGUGAGCUGAAAGAAACUCAAGAACAAGGACAUGCAGAGACUGCCUGAGGAUACCCGGUCUGAUACCAUGUGGAAAAAUGAUAAAAGUGUGUGUGUGUGUGUGUGUGUGUGUGUAGAUAUUCAAUAACAUUUCAAUUAUAUGUCACACUGAUUGGAGGACGUUUAAGUAGCAACAAGGAGAAGAUGUACACACCACAACUUUCUCCUUAAGUUAACCUUGACUGCAGGAUUUGUACAAACAUCCAUGAAUUAAGGCAAAUGAUUUCGGGACUAAGAGUGAAACAAAGAAAACCCGAGUUUCCAUGAUAUAAGCUGAUAAUAUAUAUCUUCUUCAAAUAUAUGUGGUUGAUUAUAGUGAAUUCGAUCUGUCUUUUUUCAAGUUUACCGAGAAAAGUGGACUAGUAGCCAUAGAAGCUCAAAGAUGAGCUCGGUACUCGUAGUCAUGAUCAUCACCAUCAUCACAUGAAGCAUCAAGCUUAACUAGUUUUACAUAACCUUAAUUAAUUUAAUUAAUAUUCAGCUACCAAAGUAGCAGCUGAUCCAUAUGAAUCUCCAUUAACCCUACGGCAGUUCAAUCGAAUCUCUCCAUCAGUACCGGUCAAGGGGCUUAUAUUCCCCAUUUUAAUCAUGGAUUCCACGAAACUCUCAAAGAAUGCGCUCUGAUUAGUGCUGAAGUUGUUGACAACGUCGAUGGUAUCAGCCCCGCUAGUUGAAAACAGCUCUUGAUCGCUUUGGAGCAAGCCUUUCUGAACUUGAAGAUUUGAGAAAUAAUUUGCAUCAAAAGUGUCGGGAGUUACAGGAUCAAAAUUGGUUAGCACACUGCUAUUCCCAUUCUGCGGGCAUAUCUCACUCAGUGUUUCUAAGUAGGUUGAGUUCAAGGUUGGAUCAGGACUGCCUGUGCCGCUGAAGUUAUACAAUCGAUUGGUGAAAGAUUGACAUCUAGCACGCCCAAAUGUGUGAGCACCUGUCAAUUUUACAUGUCAAAUUUUGUUAAUAUAAAAAUAAAGCAACAUAGUGAGGAUAUUUUUUUUAAAAUUUUUUGUAGCCCUGCGAUCUGCUUGCUUACCAGAUAGUGCAACCAGAUCAGUGGUGUUGAGGCCUACAGCUAAGAAGUUGGCCUUGAGUCCAUCAAGUGUUAAAGUAGGAGCUGGAAUGGCUGCGUUGGCAGCCGUGCGAUUCGCUGUUAAGCUAUCCCUUCUUCCUAAUAGCACUGUCCAUGAAGGACCUCCAGACUGUAACCAUAGAUUAAUUACUCAAUUACAAUAUCUCACGAAACAAAAUGUUUUAAAUUGUUGUUGAAGCUUGAAAUAUAUACCAAAGCAACAGAUUCUUCGGCAGCAAUGGUGAGAAUAUCAGCACAGGAAACGAUGGCGGGACAAGCAUUCUCCAAUGCAGUCUUCAUACUGUCCACAACAUCAAAUCCUCUGGCUGAGUUGUUAUUUGCAAAUGCUGUUUUUUCGCUGUCUAUGGUACUGGUAGAACUGGUACUAUUGUCCAACAGAAUUGAUCCAUCGCAACCCUGAAAUAGAAUCAACAAGUUCUUUUCAUCUCAAAAUUGCACGUUUGGAAUUUUACUUCUUCUGAAGUUCUAUAAACAAAGAAGCAGCUGUUAAUAAAAGCACUUUUGUGCUUAGGCAUUGUUCCGAAGUCCUGUAACAUAGAAGCUGCCACAUAUACAAAGUAAUCUUGGUUGGUAUUUCAAAGUUGAAUAUGUUGUUCAGCUUAAAUUUUGAAGAACUAAAGCAUUGCAUCUGAUACUAUGAUAUAUUUUCAGGGAAAUUAAUAUUAAUUCCAUAUGGUAAAAGGAAAAGAAAACAUGGGCAGAUCUUUUUGUGCUCCAAGUACAAGUUCUAUUGCUACAUUUUAAUUAAAAGGGUCCUUUACAACUACGCCCGUCAAAACCGUUGAGAAUGAGUCCUACAUUGAUGGAAAGAGGGAACUUGUAUGGACUUAUACAUAAGUUGGUUUAUUUCCCAUAUUGCCAAUUAAUUUUAUGAUGAAACCUUAACUUUCUUAAAAAGCUAUCUUAAAUAGUCAAAGCACUUAAAUCUCCUUGCACUAUACACUAAAUAAGCAUAAUACCAUAAUCGUACUGGUGCACUGACUACCGAGGCCAUUCUUAAAACCAAAAUGCUGGACUGGAAUUCGUGAUAACAACACCGGCCAAAGAAAGAUUUGUAACAAACAAAGGGAUCAGAAGCAAAGAAGUGAAUUAUACGUUGACAAAGCAAUCGUGGAAGUGAAGCCGAAUGAGGCUGGCAGCAAUCCGGGGAUCGGUCUGCAGAGCCUCUUGAAUGACUCCACGCACAAUGCUGGUGGCAUUCGGGCAUGAUUCAUCAUAAAACGUAGGAGUCAACUGAGCAUCAACAGAUCCUGCACUUGCACACAAGAUUAGUAAUAUUACAAACAUAUAUUUGUAACAAAAUUGAGCGCUACAAGAAGAAUGCAUCUUCUUAGGUGGUAAUCGAUUUUUCUAACUUAUGUGCAUCAAUGCAUAUGUGAGCCAAUUAGUAGGCCUAUUUAUGGAGUGACAGAAAGUGGAUUGGCACCAAACUGACAAGCUUUAUUGGAUAUAAAAAUGAAAGGCGUGCGUUAGGUAGAUAAGUCGAACAUGGAUUUUAAAGUUCUAAUUUAACUUUGAUAAAUAAAUAUCUAAGCCCUUUUACCCCUUUACAACCAUGCAGAUACGCUGGAAUCCAGAAUGUGGUCCCUGGAUGCAAUAUAAUCUGCCAUGUGAAUGAUAAAAUGUUGCGCCGGGAAAAGUUGAGGUUUCAAUUCAAAAAGCACCUAAUAAUUAGAGGCGUAUUGAAAUUGAAGUGUGUGCAGAUAAAAAAAAAGUUUUUUGGUCAAUAUUGUAUCUUGAUUGAAAUUCAAGCUCCACAUUAGAAAACAAUGAAAUAACUAUCACUGCAAGAAAAUGAGACAAUAUUUGUAAAUUAUCUUUUCUUAUUGAAAAAGAAAAUGAGAGUAAUUCUAACAUUAGUUGAAAUAAAGAAGUAUUAGAGAUAUCGUUGCUCUAUUAAUUACACAAAGAUGUACAACAUCUCUAGAAUUUAACGUAUAUAUACCGGGAUAGGAUCAAUGGACAAAUAUUUUUACACUUUUUAUAAGCUCUUGGAUAUUUAUUUACAUCUAAUGCUUCUAGUUAAGGUUAAGAUGCUACUAAAUGACGGCAUUGCUUCAGGUAAAAUAUUUGAUAAAGGAGUUUCAUGACGUUAAACUAGGUCCAGCCUUCAUCUUCCUCCUCUGCCAUUUAGGUCAAUAACUCUCCAACAGCAAAAAAUAAAAGGUCUGAAAUAUGCCAUUGACGAAAUUCAUCUUUAUCUUUAUUGCAGUGAAUAUUUCCUAACAUGGCUAUAUAAUACCAUUUGUAUGCCAAGAAAAAAAAAAGCUAAAAGCAAAUCCAAACAAGAAUAUAUCCCAUUCCGAAAAUUUAUUCUAUCUCCAAAGAAAAUAUGGGUUGCCUUCCUCAUUCAAUUAUAAUUUUCCUCGUGAAAUAUAUCCAAUUAACCAUCAUAUAUCAUAUGGUUAUUUAUUUUGUAGAAUUUUGUUGUAAAAAAAUCCAUGUGAUAAACAUUUUACAUGCAUAUAUGAUUAUUUGUUUUCUAGUUUUUGUUGCAAAAAAUCCAUGUUACAUGCGUAUUGUGAUGACUUACCACCAAAGCAUUAAUGGAGGGCUUCCUCCCUCCUUGUUUUUUUCUUUUGCUUUCCUCCCAAUUUUAAUUUGUUUGCAACAAUAUAUUAAAUAGCAAACAAUAAACUACUCAACAUUGUAUCAUUAAUCACAUAGUUGGAAUUUAAGUGAAUCUCCAUCCCCCAAUCUCCAUAGAUGUACUAGACUUUGGCUGCGAAUCCACAAGAUCAGUCAAAUAGGCUUCUAGGGUUUUUGUUGUUUGAGCGAAAUUCCCAGUUUUAAUCUUUAUUUGUUUAUAUAUUAUAUUAGUUAUAAUCCAUGUCAUCAUUCAUGUUAUUUAAGACUAAAAACCUCCACAUUAAUCUUAAUCAAAACCUUUGGAUGUUAUAAAAUUUAAAAGUUCAAAAGAAAUAUUAAUGUAAAAAAUAUUUGUCUCUUGAUCGUAUUCCACAUGUACAUGAGUUAUUUAUAUAGAAAUUUAAACUGAAUAAGCAAAACAUGACUAACAUCUCUAGAAAUUUAACCUUUCUACAAUAGCCACUACUUACUUUAAUUUAGUCCUGCAUCAUGGUCUGGUUUCGUGAUGUUAUAAGGGGUGUAACGUCAUUGCAACACAUACCAUGCCAUUAUUGAAGAUGAAAGGGUUUCUGAUGGCCUGCCAUGUCCUCCCCUCCAUUGAGUUUUUCAGGGCUUAGCUAGGUGGGAGGUUUAAAGCUUGACCAUGUUGCUCUUCCCAGCUUUUCCCUCUUGCCUUUGUCCUUGGGAGCUGCUGUCUCUCUAUUUUUUGCUCCUUUUUUCACGUUCUGUUUUUGUCGUUAGCUUGGUUUGGUCCGUAUUAUGUGACCUCUCCUAGUUGUUGUGGGAUUUUUUACAAUAUUCCGAAAUAUGAGAUAUCUUGAAUGUUUUAAUUUUUGUUUAAAAAAAAAAAAAAAAAAAAAAAUCUAACUGUUAAAACAUUCGGAGUUCUAUACUCCAAAGCACCCUAAAAUUUUUGUUUGUUGUAUGACUUGGGAUUUGUGCCUUUUUUCCGAUAUUCUCUACGGACUCCAUGAACAAACUUUACAAUUUCCCCCUUCCAUCACAAGAAUACUACAGAAAUUAGACAAAUAAGGAGAGAUAUCAUGCUAACCAAAGAAAAUCAUAACUUAAUUACACAUACGAUUACCUCUAAUCCAUGUCCAAAGUACACUAAUAGGAGCAGUCAAAUUACUAAAAAUCUGGAUAAUUAAAAUGAUAUAAUUUCUAAAAUAGCCCAGGGGUAUAUAGUGUGUUCGAAAAAAUAAAUUCACAAAGCAUAGCUUUAAAGUUGCCACAUACUCAUCACCACAAAAAAAAGAAAAAAAAAAGAAAAGGAUUAUAUGGAUCAAAGUCAAUGAACUUAAAUUGAUAAGUAAGUUUUAAGAUUAAACAUAAUAAUUUUCAUAGGAAUUGGUUCUGUAUCGAAUUAUCACAAAAAUAUAUGCCUUGACUUUAAAGUUUAAACUAGUGGGAAUUCGUAGUAUACUGAAAUAUCUUAGGAAUUUAUACCUCGACUUUAAACUAGUGUACUAGCCCCGCCCACAGAGUUGUGAGGGGUCUCUGGCUGCUUUUAGGUCAUGCAACAUUUCUACACGUGAAAGUGUAGUGCUAGCUUAACUUAAAGGCGGGACUAAAAGUCUUUCCUCAUAAAAAGGGGGCAGGCCCACUUAUCGAGUCUCACCUAAAGUAAGAAUCAUGCCUCAGGUGUCUGUUGGAUAAAUAUUAAUAAUCAAUAAUAAAUUUAUAUGUGUUAAUAAAUAAUAAAUACUAAUAAAUAAUUUAAGAGAAUAUGAAAAAAUCGAAAUAAUAUUAGCAGAUAAACUGAAGAUCGAGGCUUGCGUAAUGCAAUGUCUUUGAAACAAAAUUUUCGUCCCUACUCAAUACUUGUAGUUCUACGGAUGUCUGCUGUUUCACCAAGAUUCAACAAUCUAAGUUAGAAUUCCAACAUCGGAAAACUUGAUUUUUGGCGAAUUUCUUUGUGGUUCUCUUAGUAAGAAUGUUUGGGAUUGUAGAAGAAUUUUAUUUUUCUGUGUUCUAAAUACCAUGCAGAUAGAUGUCUAUAUAAUAAGCUUCACCAAGAUUCAACGAUCUAAGUUAGAAUUCCAGCAUCGGAAAACUUAACUUUUGACGAAUUCCUUUGUGGUUCUCAUAGUAAGAAUGUUUGAGAUUGUAGAAUUAUUUUAUUUUUCUGUGUUUUAAAUGUCAUGCAGAUGGAUAUAUAUAAUUUUAUUUUUAUGUGUUCUAAAUGACAUACAAAUGGAUUUAUAAAUAAUAAGUUUAUGAGUCCGUUGAUAUAUUAAUUAUAUUAUAUAUUAAUUAUCAAUUAAUUAGUACACCUCAAAGCUCAAUCUCAAGGUUGAGCCUAAUUUUCUUCUUCAUGUUCCAUCACUUGAAUCACUUUCUAUAAAAGAACAAAACCUUAUAAAGUAAGGUAACCUUUUGAUAGUGACCAAUGUGGGACAAUGAAAUUUCUACUUAAAAUUUCCAACAGUAUCCUUGUUAAGAGAGUUUCUUAGUACGUAUUGUGUAACAAACGGAGCAUAACUGUAAAAGGAAAAUAUAUAUCUCAUGAUUAUAUAAUUGGACGGUGAUUAGCUAGUCGAGUAUAUAUCUUUAUGGGUUAAUUACAUAAUACCCCCUUAGGUUUGAGGUCUAUUACAAUUCCAUACAACAUUUUAAAAACAUUUCACUUUCAUACAUAACCUACUAUUUUAUUUCAAUAUAGUACCUCUGUUACAUUUUCCAUCCAUUGAUCCAUUAAGAGCUGAUGUGGCAGCCACAUUUGUACCACAUGGCUGCCACCUAUGUGCCAAGUGGCAAAAAAAAUAAUAUUUAAAAAAAAAACCUGAAUCUUCUCAACCAAAAGAAAAAAAAACCAUAUCUUAUUCCCCGUGCCCUUCCCCUUCCCUGCAAUCCAAACACCCCAUCCCCCCCACCCAAAACCAACCCGUCUCCUACCUCAUCACCCAAAACUAGAACCACUCCCCCACCGCCGUCCUCUCCUCCUCUAUCUUCGAUUUGAGCUCCAUUUUAAAAAAUUCCUCCCUAAAUCGACCCAGACAACCACAAAAAGCAACGGCAAUAAAGGUUAUAAAACCUCAGAUCCCAUGCCAGAACGAGAUUCGGGAGAUGAUGGAAGAGGUCCGGCGGAGUAUGUUAUUCGUCUCGUCAAAGGAGAAGAAGGCGUGUACAGACGAGUGGGAGGAGGACAACGCAGGGUCGUUGGAGGAGAUGGAAUCGUUGAGGUCGGUGAGGCGAUGGUGGAGGAAGACGACGAAGGAGAGGUGCGUGUUGCACAACCAGGUCUUGAGGAUCAAAGAAGAUGACUCACAUCUCGGUGAGAGUACGGUGUCCAUCCUGCCAAAGGCGAUGAGGCGCCAAUAGAGGUGAGGCAGUCGGCGGCCCUGUGGGAUCUAAGGAGGAGGGCGCUAUUUUUAUGGGUGUGAGUUCUUCUGGGCGUCGGCUGUGGAAGGAGGGAGGUGGGGUGCAAGAGAGGGAGGUGAGUCGGAGGGGGGAAGAUGGGUUUUGGGGAUUAUAUAUAUAUUUUUGAUUUUUUAAAUAAUUUUUCUUUAAUUAUUUAUUCUUAAAUGUAUAUAAUAAAAAAAAUUUGCCACCUGGCAUAAAUUUGGUAGCCAAGUGGCACAAAUGUGGCAACUAUGUCAGCUCUUAACGGAUCAAUUGAUGGAAAAUGUAACGGGGGUACUAUAUUGAAAUAAAAUAGUAGGUGAGGUAUGAAAGUGAAAUGCUUUAAAGAUAUUGUAUGAGGUUGUAAUAGACCUUAAACCUGAUGGGGUACUAUGUAAUUUACCCUAUCUUUAUUGUAAGACAAUUUGCGUAUUUACCUAUUUAGUUCUGGAUUAGACAUGCAUGCAUGCACAUUUGUGGAAAAGGUUUGUUCGAAAUAAUUAAUGUGUUGAAAGGUUAUUUCGGAAUCUUGAAAUGCAUGCAUGGGAAGCAGCAGGGAGUACUAAAAUUAUAAGGGGGCGUUUGUUUGCCCUCACUAAGUGUUAUUGGAUUAGAUUGGACUAACUAUUAGACCAGUUGUUUGUUCCGUAGUGGUAUUAUGUUUAAUGAGAUUAAAGGGGACUCGCAUGGACAAACUCCUUCACUAGGAGUUCUUAGCGAGACCCCCCAUACCCAUGGGAUUGCUAAGACCUCGUCUGAUCUGUUUUCGUAUGCUCCCUCUCAUCCUUUUUCUGCUCUUUGUUCUCUUGAGCACCGACAACCACCAUCACACCACAACUCGCCAACUCUAGCAAGAUCACACCAACAGCCCACCACCACUCUUUCCCUCUCUCCUCACCUUGAACCCAGAAUUUCAAACUGAGGAAGAUCCCGCUCUUAUCGUUGUCCAUCCAACUCUAGCCGUUUGCUUCGCUGCGCUUUGAACUUGACCUCGGACUUGUCGGCUUCGCACAAUUGAUCGGAUCUUGUGAACCCAAUGGUGGGUGAGCCAUCCAAUGCGCUUGAAGGAAUAUGGGAGGCCAAAAACGCCAGAGCCACAGCGGCGUGUUCUCCGCCAAGGGCAAUGGCUUGGGAUUCUUGUUUUCAUUUGGUUUUGAUUUAAAUUGGGUUUUGAUCUCGAACUGGAUUUGAUGUGAUCUGGAAUUGGCAUUUGAUUUGCUCUGUAAUUGUUUGAAUGAUCUGUAAGUGUGGAAUGAAUUUUCAGGAGAGAAGAAGAGAAUUUAGAAAAAAAGAAAAAGAGACUAAAUAAUAAAAUAUUAAUAUAUAUUAGAUUAAAUAAUAUUAUAUUAGAAUAUGUUAUUAUUCAGUUUUUUAGUCCGACACUACACCAAACGCUUCAUUAAGUUAGUCCAGCUUAGUCUAGUAUAAGUCAGCCCAGCUUAGUCCAUGAAGCUAGUUCAGUCCGAAAUAAUGAUCAGGUGCAACAAACGCAUCCAAUAGUAUAGAAUUUGUUUCGUACUAAAGUCAACAAAGGCAUGCAUGCGUGUCUUCGGUUACUAGUACUAGCUCUUGGGCAAAUUUGGCAGUCUCUCUCAUCUCAAUGAGAGAGAACAUUGUCUAUGGGUCUUAAAUCCUGUUAUAUUAUAAUUAAUUGAGUUUUUUUAUUAACACCCCACACGUUGUUGAAUAUACCUUACUUUAAAAUGUAAUACUAAACAACUUGUAACUCUAAUAUGAAAUGACUAUUCGAGCCCUUAGAGUUACUCUUACUCUCCAUUGUAGAACAAAACCCUAAAAACACAAACAAGUUGAUGAAAAUAUAUCUUUUGAUGAAUGGAACAAAAAAAUUGAGUUUUGCUCCUCGUUCAUUCGUUGGUUUUCAUAUUCAAGAAAUUAUUUAAACAAUGGAAUAAAAAUUUGACUUUUUGCAAAGCCCUGCUCUAGUUGGAAUCCAAGAAAUAGGAAGAAAACUGUAGAAUGUUGUAAAAUUUUAAGAUGUAAUAAAUGUAAUAUUCUUGUGGUUGUUUGAUGAUGAAGAAAUUCAAUGUUUUUUGGCUGGUUGGAACUGACAUGACCUUAUAAGAACAGUUCAUACCAUUUGUCCUUCAGGUUUCUUAGAAUCCAAUGUGAUUGUUCAAGAAAAUUUGAUGGAUGUUUAUAAAUCAAACGACAAGAUGGAGAUUUUAUACAAUUUAAUUCAUCUUUCUUGUAAUGUGGAUUAUUCUAUUGUGUGAAAGAGAUGAAGAGUUUGACGUGUGGUUAAUUAGUUGAUGAUUGUGGGGGUGUGUGAGAUGUGAGGUCUGGGGUGUACGAGAUGUGAGGAUAGUAUUGGAAAAUAUGUGGCAUGUGUUAAAAAAAUUUAAUUUAAAAAGUAAAUAUAGAGUGUAUUAAGUAUGUGAGGUAUAGUCAACAAAUUGUGAGGUGUUAAUAAAACAAGCCUAACUUUUCAAAAGUGUAUUUAUUUUUUUAUAUAGAAAGUUUAGAGUGCAAAAUGAGAUUUUUAGAGUGUCAAUAACAAUUUCCUUAAUUGAAUAGAAAUUCUCUUUGUAAUUAUAGCAUGUAUUAUAAAAAUGUGAUUUUCAAUUGUAAUUAGUGUAGAAUUUCUACCUCAAUAGGAAUUAAUAUAUCGUAUAUAUAUUGUAAUAUUGUUCACACAUCAAUACAAAGAGUAAUUAUUCUACAUGGUAUCACUCGUCUAAGUUUUCUUAAGUCCUAGGUUUCUGCUCUCCCCUUCUUCCCUGGACGUCCCACCAUUAUUCCUCAUGGCAUCACCUUCUUCCUCUUUAUCCGAUCAAAACGCUGCAACCUUCCUUAAACUUUCUAUCACCAAGUAUAUUGUUUGGGUUAGUCAACUUAUCUCAUUGGUCAAGAUCUCUGGAAAUAUGUCUAUGGUUCUUCUCCCUCUCCCCUCCUUUCCCUAAACGGCCCCAUGUCUGCUUCAAGGCCCACGCCCUUCAUUCAGCAUCUGCGCCUGCCUCUGCUGCUUCAUAUGCGCCACAAUCUGGACCUGUGCCCGUGCCUAUUGGACCUUGUGCAUAUGCGCCACUAUUGGAUCCGUGUCCACCACACCUCCAACCAGCUCAAUCUCCAGGUCCGUGCCUCCAUAUGAGCCUGCUAUCGAUGAUCCUCCUCCACUGCUUCCUCGGCUGUCACGUCUACUCAUUCAAUGGUCACUUGCCGUACUAGAUGAGCUAUAGCAAGUUUUCUCCUCUUAGAUUUAAUUUUUACAGGAUGUCUGCCAUCCAAAUAGAUUUGUUGACAGUUUUAGCUUUCUCUCUGACUUCCUUUUUAGCCUAUGUAUCAUGGGUGGCAUGAAUUCAACAUUUUACAAACUAUGCCUACUUAUCACAAAAAUGUUCUUUCGUUAUGCUUAUAUUUCUUCGACCCUUCAGACAUAGUAGUUUCUUAGGUUUUAAACCUUGCAAUAUAUUUAGACAUGUUAAAGUCGCCAUCUUGUCCAUGGCUGGUCAAGUUUUAGAAGCAUAACAUCCUUCCAUUAUGUCGUCAUGAAUCCAGGUUAGGUGAUUCAUUUAUGUAUUCUUUCUAAAUUGCUUGAUACGAUACUAUUUACAAUAAUAUAAGCUAACUUGGAUAGUUAUUGAAUAUUUGUUUCUGGUUUCCUUCUCGAUGCUGAAGAUCUUCAUUCACAAAAGAAGUGAGCUAUGGAAGAGUUCAUGAUGGAUUGCUGCGAAGGAUUAGACAUAUACAUAUAUUUAUAUUUUUUUUGGGCAUUCCAUAUCUAAAGUUACCUGAUGCACAGGCCAUAAGAACCUGUGUUUUAUUAUUUUGUUUUUACUUUUUUUUGCAAUUGCUAGCACGACAACAGAGCUUGCAGGACAUGUAUUUUGUCAUGUUGCAUGCACAAACAAAAUUUAUGUGAACUGCGUGCUACUUUUAUUUCUGAUGCAAAGAAACUAUAUUUUAUCAUUGCAACUUUUGUUAAUAGAAACUUUCGAAUUCACCAUUUUGAUUGUAUAUUGGCUCUUGAUGUCAACUUAAUAGAAUGUAAAUGCAAACUGAACUACUUAUUUUACUGUUUCGAUUCACCUAUCUCUUGGUUUUUCAAUUAUUUGGAGAUGACCGUGUUAAUUUGUGGUUUUGUGGUAAUUACUCAAGUAAAAAUGUGCGUCGUCUAGAUUGCUGCAUUUGAAAAUGCGAGUAUGUUGUUGCUGCCAUUUGAGUGAUUUUUUUAGGAUAUUAUUCAUUGCUAUUGUUAUUAUAGUUUGAAAACGCCCAGCAGAGAGCGCUGACAGUUUUUCUAGUAAGUACUUAAGUUGUAAUUAGGGAAGGGGUGGGGUGAUUGCCUCAUGAUUGUUGCAUUGUAAAAUUCACAUUCAGUCUCUAGUUAAAAUAACACAAUCCUUCGAAAACCCUGAGAUCCCGUGAUAUAAGCUGAUAAUAUAUAUCUUCUUCAAAAUGGAUGUGAAGUCGAUCUGUCUUUUAUUUAAGUUUACUGAGCAAAGGGGACUAGCCAUAAAAGCUCGAAGGUGAGCUCGGUACUCGUAGUCAUGAUCAUCACAAUCAUCAUAUGAAGCAUAAGGCUUAACUACUUUUCCAUAACAUUAAUUUAUUUAAUUAAUUAGUACUCAGCUACCAAAGUAGCAGUUAAUCCAUAUGAUUCUCCAUUAACUCUACGGCAGCUCAAUCUAAUCUCCCCCUCGGUUCCGGUCAACGGGCUUAUAUUACCCAUUUUUAAUCAUGGAUUCCCCGAAAUUCUCAAAGAAUGCGCUCUGAUUAGCGCUGAAGUUGUUAACAAUGUCGAUGGUAUCAGCCCCGCUAGUUGAAAACAGCUCUUGAUCGCUUUGGAGCAAGCCUUCCUCGACUUGAAGAUUCGAGAAAUACUUUGCAUCGAAAGUGUCAGGAGUUACAGGAUCCAAAUUGGUCAGUACACUGCCAUUCCCAUUCAGUGGGCAUAUCUCACUCAAUGUUUCUAAGUAGGUUGAGUUCAAGGUCGGAUCAGGACUGCCUGUGCCGCUGAAGUUAUACAAUCGAUCGGUGAAAGUUAGACAUCUAGCACGCCCAAAUGUGUGAGCACCUGUUAAUUUUGCAUGCCAAAUUUUGUUACUAUAAAGAGAGGGAACAUAGUUAGAUAUAUUUUUUUUUGCAGCCGUACGAUUUGCUUGCUUACCAGAUAGUGCAACCAGAUCCGUGGUGUUGAGGCCUACAGCUAAGAAGUUGGCCUCGAGUUCGUCAAGUGUAAAAGUAGGAGCUGGAAGGGCUUCGUUGGCAGCCGUGCGAUUAGCUGUUAAGCUAUCCCUUCUUCCUAAUAGCACUGUCCAUGAAGGACCUCCAGACUGCAACCAUAGAUUAGUUACUCAAAUUCCAAAUCUCAUGAAACAAAAUGCUUUAAAUUGUUGUUGGAGCUUGAAAUGUAUACCAAAGCAACAGAUUCUUCGGCAGCAAUGGCGAGAAUAUCAGCACAGGAAACGACGGCGGGACAAGCAUUCUCCAAUGCAGUCUUGAUAUUGUCCACAACAUCAAAUCCUCUGGCCGAGUUGUUAUUUGGCACUGCUGUUUUUUCGCUGUCAAUGGUACUGUUAGGAUUGGUACUGUUGUCCAGCAGAAUUGAUCCAUCGCAACCCUGAAAUAUAAUCAACAAGUGUUUUUCAACUAAAAAUUGCAUGUUUUUGAAUUUUGCUUACGUCUUCUGAAGUUCUAUUAACAGAGAAGCAGCUGAUAAUAAAAGCACUUUUGUGCUCAGGCAUUGUUCCGAAGUCCAGUAACUUAGAAGCUGCUAAUAUAUACAAAGUAAUCUUGGUUGGUAUGUUUUCAAAGUUGAAUAAGUUGUUCAGCUUAAAUCUUUGAAGAACUAAUUAAACUUCGCAUCUGAUACCACGGAGAUAUUUUCAGGGAAACUAAUAUUAAUUCCAUUUGGAUAAAAAGAAAAGAAAACAUGGACAGAUCUUUUGGUACUCCAACCAAAGUUCUAAAAGACGUUAGGCGAUAGUCGAGCGGCGGGCUAGAGCCUAACAGUUAGGCGGGGCCCUACGAGAACUAGACCAAUUUAAGCAAUUUAUUGUAUAUUGUAUAAAUAAGUGUCUAUUUAUACUUCAAAAGACACAUAAUUGUAUUGGAUAUGUAAAUUGCUAGAUAAAAUAACAUACAAAUUAUAAAGUAUUAGGACAUAUUGUAAAUAUUGGAAACAAACAUAUAAUAAGUGUUUAUCCAAGUAUUCAAUGAGUCUCUUACAUUUUAUUGACAAAAAUAAAAUGCAAAAUGAAAGUUAUCAAUUUUAUGUCUAGGUGGAGUCGCAACCUAGGCGAUGCAUAGGCAGGUUUAGGAGGGCUAAGUGGGCGCCUAGGCGGACACCUAAGCGGGUUUAGGCACACUUUCUUAAUUUUAAAACGCCUAGGGACUAAUUGGGACGGUAACCAGUUGCCUAGUGUAUAAGCAGGAAUUUUCAGAAUAGUGGCUCCAACUACAAGUUCUACUUAUUUUAAUUAAAAGGGUUCUUCACAAAUAAGCUCCCUCAAAAACUAUGUUAGGUCAAAGGCACUUAAAUCUCCUUGCACUAUACACUAAAUAAGCAUAACACCAUAAAUCGAGCUGGUGCACUACUACUGAGGCCAUACUUAAAAACCAAAAUCCCGGACUGGAAAUUUCCAAAAAAAAAAAAAAAAAAAAAAAUCCCGGACUGAAAUUCGUGAUAAGAACACCGGCCAAAGAAAUAUUUUUUUUACAAACAAAGGGUAUCAAAAGCAAAGAAAUGAAUCAUACGUUGACGAAGCAAUCGUGAAAGUGAAGCCGAGUGAGGCUGGCAGUAAUCCGGGGAUCGGUCUGCAGAGCCUCUUCAAUGACUCCACGCACAAUGGUGGUGGCAUUCGGGCAUGAUUCAUCAUAAAACGUAGGAGUCAACUGAGCAUCACCACAUCCUGCACUUGCACACAAGAUUAGUAACACUGCCAAAACAUAUUUGUAAUACAAUUGAGCACUAUAAGGAGGCAUUUUUCUCAGGUGGUGUUCGAUUUUUCUAACAUAUGUUGAUCAAUGCAUAUGUGAGCCAAACGGUAUAGGUCUAUUUAUUGAGUGACAGAGUGAACUGGUAGAUGAGAAACCCGCGUUAGGUAGAUGUCAAAUUAGGUUUAUUUUUUUGGUAAAAAGUUCAAAUUAACUUAAAUAAAUAAAAAUCGAAGCCCUUUUCUCCCUUUUCUCCCUUUUUCUUCUUUACGUGAAGUGAACCAUGAUGAUAUACUGGAAUCCAGAAUGUGGGUCCCUGGAUGCAAUAUAAUCUGUCAUAUGGAGUAUCUGUGGAGUAUGAUUUUCUCUCCUCUUAUUCUCAUCUUAUUCCUUCUCCUUCUCUCACAUAUUGUUUUUUGUCUUAUUGUCUUUAUAAAAAAAUCAAUAUAAAAUGUUGACGUGAUUAAACCGUAACCAUUCAAAUAAAAGAAAAGGAAAAGGGAGAGAGAUUAGGAGGGAGGGAAUCCUCCUCCUAAAUGUUACUACCCUUCCCGCGAAAAAAGGUGAGGUUUCAAUCCAAAAGUUAGUUAAUAAUUAGAAGUGUCCCGAACUUGAAGUGUGUUUAGAUAAUAAGUUUUUUAAUUCGAUCAAUAUGGUAUCUUGAUUAAAAUUCAAAGUCCAAAUUAGAAAACAAUGUAUAAUAAUCACCGCAAGAAAACGAGACAAUAAUUGUAAAUUCUCUUUUCUUAUAAAAAAUAGGAAAAAGAGAGAAGAAUAACAUUAGUUGAAUGGGCGGAUGAAUAAACUAAUGAGUUGAAUAAAAGAAGAGAUAGUGCUAUUCACACUUUUGUUUUUAUUUUUCACACAUUCUUCGUAAUUUUCGGUUGUCAGAUCAAAUAAAUUGAAGAAUAUCACUAAUAAAAAACUAACACGGGUGUGCAAAUGUAAAAAUAAGUGUGUGAAUAGUACUUUCAUAAAAGAAGUAUCAGAUAUAUCAUGGCUUUGUUAAUUACACAAAGACAUACCUAAUUAUAACAUCUCUAGAAAUUUAGGACUUGUUUGGAAUUUUUUUUAAAAAUGACUGAAAAUAGUUUUAGAAAAAAAUAUUUUUGAGUUUCAAAACAACUUGAAGUGUUGCUUCUUGGGUUUAUUUAUAGAAAUUAUACCUAUACCAAAAUUGGGUUGAAAAACGUUAUUCACCAAAAGUGUUUUGACAAAAAUACCCUUUGUUUUUCUUUCCAUUCCUGCUUUGUUUUAUAAUGUGGAACAUGUUGUAAAAUCGACAGUGGGUGCAGUGGAAUAAAUGAAACAAGACACAAAAUUUACGAGAUUCCUCUACAGUCAGUGUGACUGGAGUACGUCCUCGGGACAGCAGUGGUGCUUUCAUUAUAAUUUAGAAUAAUAGGAGUACAAAGAUAACUCUCUCUAUUAUCUCCUCUCCUCUUCCUCUCCUUUCUCUCUUCCUCUCAUUUUCUCUCAUCCUUUCUUUCUUCCUAUCUCUCCGUGAGUCUUCCCACUUUGAUGUUGUGUGAGGUUUGUAUUUAUAUAGAAAAUAGGAGUAGUGUGUAGCAAGCUUCAGCAACCAAAAUGAAGGGCCAAUUAUUUAAUUUUUUAAAUGGACAUCCACUGUUCUACAACACUCCCCAUUGGAUGGCCAUAAGUCUUCGAUUGACUCGUUAAAAUCUGGAUCUGUUUUGAAUGCUUCCCCUGAUGAGUAUCUCCCCUGAUUUCAAAUCAUUUAGGCUGAUCGUUGAUCAUUCUGCUUCAGUCUCUUAGCAAAAAGAGUUUCCAAAAGAAGUGCUUUACUUGUUGUUAACUUUCCACAGGCUUGUUCUUGAACUGGGCUGAAGGGCCUUCUGUUAGACUUCCUCCAAAUGUUUGAAUUUACUUUUUUUAUUUGGAGCUAAAUUUAAUUCAAAUGUGGUGGACACUUGAUCUUGAAUCGGACUUGUGAUUUCUUCAAGGACUUCGAAACUUGAUCUUGAAUGAAGUUAUACCGUGAGAAGCUUCAUGUGGCAAAUGAUCUUCGGCUUUGUCGGGGAUGAAUUAGCACGUGUUUGUUGCGCUUGUCUCCACAUACUUCAAUGUAUCAUUUUCACUUGCCUUACUUGUUCCCCUUGCUUAAGUAGUAUUUUCCCUGGUUUUCCCCUAUGCAUGUGUGGCAUAUUCUCCUGUAGUAUUUGCCUUUUGAUGCAGGAGUGGAAUGCAACCCUUGCAUUUGGAUGGUUCAUCACUUCUUGGUGACUGGAGACCCAGCUCCAACAACAGUUGAAGAUGGCUACUCGAGAGCAAUACUAGGUAAGCAAUUAGGAAAUGUUUCAGGCAGUCGGUUCCUUACCGGGAGUUGGAGUGGAGGUUCCGACAUAUUUAUUUCUUUAUCCUUGUCUUUGCAGGUAAGAACAAGGACAAAGGAAAGGACAAAGAUAUUGCAUGAUAUGAGACACUCUUACUCUCGUCCAUGAAGAUAUGAGAUACUCUUGUUUCGGUGUGACUUGUUUAAAGAGGUAUUCUCGGAGAGGAAGAAAACUGAGUAUUUCGAGAUGCUUUAUUGAAGAUGCAUUCUCGGAGAUGAGAGAAAGUUAGGAGUUUUGGAUGUGUGCCUUGCCAUGGACGAUGAAGGUCGACUUAUAUAGGGAUUUCCCCAAUAGCAGGUAGUGGUGUUGUGCCUUUACUCUUGUCAGCAACUGUGGUGUAAUUAGAACAGUAAGAUUUACGCGUUUUCAACUUUGUCAGAGAUCUUUGACAAAGUUGCACGCGAUAGCAGAAAAAGCUGAGAUUGUGUCUGAAAAAUACCAACGAACUUUAUUCAGGAAAAUCUGGCUUUUGAAAUUCGGAUAGCAGUGCCUCUUCGAUCUCUGAACAAGUAGUUCUGUUGCCUCUUCUUUUAUCGAGAUAUCAAUUAUGUUCAAGAGUAUGCUCAGAAAGUUGCUGCCUGUAGAAAUUUUCCCCUUCUUGCACUUCUGAGAUUUUAUUUAACCUCUUUUGUUUUUCAUCAUUUCUGAAAAUGGCUUACCCAUCUAACAUUUGCUUAGAUUUGAGUCUUAGGAGUGAUACAGACGAGCAGCGUCAGGAUAACAUAUGGCGCCCGUCCUUCUUAUCUUCUAAUGGUCCUCUUACAAUUGUAGACUCUGUGAUGAAGAAUAACAUAACCGCUACUGUGGUAGCUAGGAAUUUUCUCACUCCAAGGGAUAAUAGAAUCAUUUCAAAACGAUCUGAUGAGUCGGCCAUUCAAGACUCUUUAGCUCUCAGUGUUCAGUGUGCUGGCUCUGUUUCUAAUAUGGGUCAACGCUUACUUGCUCAAACUCGCGAAGUUGAAUCAUUGAUGGCUGAGGUGGCAAGUCUUAAAUAAGAGAUUAGAGGGCUCAAGCACGAAAAUAGAGUGUUACACGUGCUUGCAAAUAAUUACUCUACGAGCAUGAAAAGAAAGCUCAACCAGCUGCAGGAAUCAAAAAGUCGAACUCAAAACAGUCACCAAAAGUUCGUUGCUAGAUUUCGAAAGUAACUGAUGUCUUCCCCUUUUGGUGUUUUGCCGAGUACUAGGGUGUCAUAUGAUCAAUCUCCAGUGCCUCCUCAUUAUGGGGUACUUCCGAGUACUGAGGCUUCACAUGAGCAACCUUUGUGAAGGCUUCAUCCUGUUUAUUUGUUUUGACUCAUGUGUAUGCACAUAUCUGUAAUUUCUCGGAGAUAUUAAUAGAUAAGCUUUAUUUCAUUCAGUGUAUUGUGCCAAAUACAAUAAAGCAUAUACUUCACUAAGAUGUGGUACUUUUGGACCAAACAUUAAUUUAUCUUUACCCUCACGAAGAUAAAUGAUCUUUCUUAGUGUUUACAUCAUUUGAGUAUUCAACUCAUAAUCUUUAAUCCAUAUGGUUCUUUUAAUAUCAUAGACAUCAUGGAUAAGAUUCGUGUUGGUAUAUUGUUUGAUCUGCAGCUCGAGACAAUAUUUCUCUCAACACUUUAUAAUCUUUCUUGACUCUUUAGGAGUCUCAAUUUAAUAUCAUCAACUCUUCAGGAGUUCUAAUUUAAUGUCAUUGACUCUUGCAAGAGAUUUUAGUAUGUUGCAACAAUAUCAUAAUGAUAGUACUCACUAAGGCAAUUUAUACCAUCCAUUGGUAUUGAGUACAUAAUUUAGGCUUUACCCUUCGGGGGCUUACUUCAAGCAAUUUGAAUCAUUCAGGGAUUUUCUACACUUUAUGACACAUUUUCCUUUGGAAUUUAUACAGUGCAAUUUGCUCCCAUGUAUACUUGAGGGAUUUACUUAUGGAGAUAUGAUGUGGGUGACUCACAACCCUUCGUAUAUAAUUCUCCAUUCAUAUGAACUCGUUUACAAGAGUAUAAUUAGUAACCUUGUGUCAUAUCAUGUAAGUGUAUUUCAUUGUAUUACAAAUGCUUAUAUGUAACCUUAUUGGUUCAACAUAUUUUGGCUAUUCAAAUAUAUAUAGGUCCAUUUUUCCACAUUCUUACAAAAUUGUAAUGGAAUCGCCUUUCUCCAUUUUUGGCCAAUAAUUUUGUUGACGAAAAAGAAUGAGACUCAAUAUCAACACAGCUCAUUGAUGAAUUUAGUAGCUACUUAUAAAAACCAAAAUUACCAUUGGUUAUCAUCAAUCCGUGAUCCCAUAUUCUCAUGUGCAUGCGCAUGCAUAAAAACUUUUCAUUUAUUUGGAUAUCCAUUGCCUCUCCAAGGGCAUUACACUAUCUAUUUCAGGAUAGUCAUAAUUUAGAGAAUGCGGAUCAUAACCUCUUCUUGAGCGUUAUAGAGCUUGAAUUUUAAUUUCCACUUCUAGGAGUUGAGUCAUUGGAACCUAUGCAUCUAUCAUGCUUCAUGCAUGAGACAUUAAUAUUCCCAUGUCCGUGGAUUGUCCUUUUUGGGACGUAUAUCCAUACGGCGACUGUCAUGCUUCUGGCAUGCAACAAUUAUGCUUCGGGAAUGCAAUAGUUCAAUAGUGCCAUAUUCUUCUUCUUUCGAAUGACUGAACGUUUUGAGUCUAAGGGUCUGCCAUGCUUCAGGCGUGCAACAGAUAAAUCAUUUAUCGCCUCAUUAUAUUGUCUAACAGGGACAUUAAUUCUUGUAGGCACAUUUGCAGCAAGUAUAUAUGAUUUUUUUAUCACUUUCGUUGCAUUAUUAAAAUGGCAUUUGGCAUUUGAAAACAUCGUUUGCAUCAUUCAAUUAUUCUUACUUCAUUUUCAUAUUGAUUGCUUCGUGAAUCAAAAUAAGACAAAUUUCUUUCUUCUGGAACGGUCUUUUCUUAUCAUUCUUCUGGAAUGAUAUUUUUUUCUCAUUCUUCUGGAACGAUAUAAUUUUCUCCCCUAGCGGGAAUAUUGUCUUAUCAAAAUGACAGUCUGCAAACCAUAAAAUAUCCCUAGUCAAGGUUUUUCCAAAUAUGAAUGAUAGAUGGUUAAUCAAAUUCAACAUAAAAUUCCCAGUUUGUAUCGAUGCCUUAUUUUAUACAUUAAAAUUUAAUAAUUUAUAACCAAAAACUCGAGUGUUUAAUGUUUGGCUAGUGCCUAAACACGAGUUGUACUAAGAAAUUUAAUUUGUAACUUAGUGUCAAAAUGCUUAAUAGUGAAUUCUUGUAAAUUUCGUUUUCAUGUCCAUAAGUAGAAAACUUGCAAUUUCGUUUCAUGAGCAGAGCGUGGGUAAUCAAUUUCAUCCGCUUAAUAAAAUGCUUCUACUAAACCAUUUUAAGUAUGGACAUAAGGAACUUCUGGUCCUAUUAAAUAGUUUGUGGAUUGAGACUUUUAUGACCUUUAUUACAAUUAAGUUGAGGCACUGCGGCACUUCAAACUUAAGGUAAUUAUCAAGAAACUUCAUGUCCGAUCUUGAGGAUCUAGGGAUUUCAUGCCUGAUCUUUUUGCAUGAUGGAACUUGGGGUUCAAUCAUUUUUUAUGUGAUGAGGAUCAAGAAACUUCAGGUUCUGAUCUGAUCAAGGAACUUUGGGUCUUAUAUAUACUUAUCGUAACAAAAGGUAAGUACAAUAAAUAAAUUAAAGCAAUAGGCAGUAAUUCCAGACAUAGUAAAUAAAUUGCAUUUAAGUAAAUAAAGCUUGUGACAAGGGCUUUAAUUUAACACCAUUCAUAUAAAUCAAAACUUAAAGCAGUAGGCAGUAAAACUGUCCAUGAUAAAUAAAUUGCUUUAAAGUAAAUAGAACUUGUGAAAGUGUUUUAAACCAACACCAUUCACAUAAAUAAAUAUAUAUAUAUAUAUAUAUAUAUAUAUAUAUAUUUCUUUCUUUUCUAAUGGUACAAACACCAUCCAAAAGCUUUUAUGUCACAUCCCGGCCUGGGGUGGACCACUUCCCAGGCCCGCUCCACCACCGUAGCACGAUAUUGUCCACUUUGGGCUUACCACGCCCUCACGAUUUUGUUUCUGAGAACUCACGAGCAACUUCCCAAAGGGUCACCCAUCCUGGGAGUGCUCUGGCCUCAUUCUAGCUUAACUUCGGAGUUCCUACGAAACCUAAAGCCAGUGAGCUCCCAAAAGGCCUCGUGCUAGGUAGAGAUGAGAAUAUACAUUUAAGAAUUACUCCCCUAGGUGGGUGAUGUGGGAUGUUACAUUUUAUCUUUUUUGUUUUUAUUAUUUCUUUUUCACAUGUUGUGUCGGCAUUAUGCAACGAGAUUCCACCCUUUUUUCAUAUAGCACCAAAACCCUUUUUAUUAUUUUUCAUUCAAAUGGUGCAGAUGCAUCAUUAGAAACCUUUGUCCAAAAAGUCCACUUUUCCAAUUCUUUUUCACACGGUGCUUGAAACACCAUUCCAUAAUCCUUCCUUCAUUUUUCUUAUCUGUCUGUCUGUACUAGUCUUAAACCCAGGGCCAUUUGGGUUGUUGUGGAGGUCACACAGAACCUAUUCAAUCUAAUAAGGCUACCAGAGACUGGCGUUAUUCUUGCAUGGCCCAGAGAACAUGGCGUCGCAAAGCAAGAACUUCCCUAUAGGGACAUAGAUGACAGCGGAGUUGAUGGAGGUACAAGAGAGGGAGGCAUGUGUGGAGUCAGUCAUGCCAUCACCAUCUCAGACAACCGAUUAUUCAUGGGAGUUCUCGAGAUCUGUCAAAAACGACGCUAUCUGGGUUUCCAAGUCUGAUGAGAUUCUUCUGGAUCUCUGGAACCAAUUGUCAAGUACGAGUUUUCUCAUCUCGUGACGACUUCAGGUCGUUGUAAAUUUCAAUUCUUACUGGAAUUUGGUGGGGCGGGCGCUUCAGGCGCAGUGGAGAGACAGAAAAUGGACAUACCUUUUAUUUAUGUGAUAUUUUGGCUAGCAGAGGUAAGGUAGGUAACGCUUUACCAGAUUUAUGGCGUUGUGCUUUCCAUUGACAUGAGAGCUUUCUCGUGCUGAUAACGUGUUGUAAAAUCGACGGUGGGUGCAGUGGAAUAAAUGAAACAAGACAAAAAAUUUACGAGAUUCCUUUACAGUUAGUGUGACUGGAGUACGUCCUCGGGGCAGCAGUUGUGCUUUCAUUAUAAUUUAGAAUAAUAGGAGUACAAAGAUAACUUUCUCUAUUAUCUCCUAUCCUCUUCCUCUCCUUUCUCUCUUCCUCUCUUUUUCUCUCAUCAUUUCUUCCUUCCUAUCUCUCUGUGAGUCUUCCCACUUUGAUGUUGUGUGGGGUUUGUAUUUGUAUAGAAAAUGGGAGUAGUGUGUAGCAAGCUUCAACAACCAAAAGGAAAGGCCAAUUAUUUAAUUAUUUGAGUGGACAUACACUGUUCUACAACAUAACAUGGUAUUUAGAAAUUUUCCCUUUGAUACAUGUUGGCUACGUGUGCCAACGUGGGACUUCCAGACAUCAUUGAUAAUCUCGGAAGGGAGAAAUUUUUAAUUGUGAUAUGAACAUGAGUGGUACAUCAUGUGUUUUUAUGUAACUGAUGAGAAAUUUUACUUUUUAAGUUAGUAGCUUUUUAACACACAUAUCCCACUAUUUGUAUAAUGACACGUGGUGUACCACCUCGUGUGUUGGUCACAAUGAAAAAUCUAUUGAAGUAAGGGGUAUUUCCCCCUUUUUUUUCUCUCGAAUUCUCUCUAUAAAAAACUAAACCACGGCCGCCACUUUUCUUAUCCCCCAACCGCCGAUCUCGUCACAGUUUGGUAUGAACCAAAUGGAUUUCUUUUUAAAACAAAUCGACAUGACUAUGAAUAUAUCAGCCGACUUGAAGGAUUCGAUGGUCACAUACAUUAUUUGAGUAUAUCAUGUGUGUGUUUUUUUUUUUAUUGGUGAAUUAUCAUGUGUGUGCUUUAAGUAAUAGUUGGAUCACCUGCAAAGAACUCUAUGGUCUCAUUUUCUAGAAAGUAAUGACAACUAUCAUGCAUAAGACUAAGGGCUGGUUUGGUAUUGCUGUGCUUUGAAAAAAAGCUGCUGUGAGAAUAAGCGGCUGUGAAAUAAAGCCAGUAGAGUGUUUGGUAAACUUUUUUGUGAAAGUGCUUUUGAAAAAAAAAGCAGGAUGAUAGUGUGUCUUUUCAUUAAAGGAGCACUGUAACUCCGUGUGCUUUGAAAAAACUGGCUUUUUUUCAAAGCAGCAAAUAGCAGCUUCACCUUUUCCUUUGAUUUUCAGCUUACUCUCACAGCAGCUUCCAAAAUAAGCUUUUUUUUUUUCAGUUUACCAAACACAAAAAUGACCCUCAGCUUUUUUUCACAAUGGUUUUUUUUAAAAUCACCUCAAUCCCAAACGGGGCCUAAAAGCAACCACACAAAAGUCUUUUUAGCCACCCACAAGUCGAAAACUACUAUUGUGCAUGUCACAUAAGCAAAAUUUUCACUCUUCCAACUUUAUAGCCAAUCGUGCAAAUUAUUGGUAAAUUUGACGGUGAUCGCAUUAACCUUCUCUUCAAUGCAUGACAUGUGGAAAAAAUCAUCAUCAAACAGAAGUUUGAUAUUAUGCACGUGUCCCAUCUUUAUUUGCGCGUUUGUGUUUGUUUUUUAUUUCAAUAGGUUGAAGAAAAAAAGCACUGGCUCGAGCAAGAAGGCUGCAAGGGUCCGAACAAGCUUAAGAGGAUUGCAAGUUGCAAGUACCUUCUUCGUUUUCAUGUAUGUUUCACUUUUACUAUAAUUUAGUUUUUCUAGUUAUAAUUGUAUAAAUUUUUCGUUCAAUUUAAUAUAAAGGUUCAGCUCAAAAGUUUAAGAUUAUAAUCCACUUUGUUUCGAUUUUUGAUCUCUUGGUGUUUCAAAGACAAAAAACAACACACGAUCCACAUAUCAAUAAAAGGCUUUUAGUCCAUUCCCAUUUAUAGAAUUUUGCCGACUCUACUGCUGUAAAAGGGGCUUAAUAGUGCAAAAGUACGAAACGAAACAAAAAGAGGAAGGGCGAGAGAGAGAUGCAAUUGGGUAUUUGUCGGAUCGAAGCUCUUCCAUACCCUUCCAUUAUCUCCACCGACUCCUUGACUAAAAGAGAGUGUUUUUUGUCUCAUUUUCUCAUCAUAGCUAAAGCUAGAAAGUAUGUUUCAUAUUUUCCCUGUCCGCAACUGGGAUUAGGAGAAAGAGAUUGAGAGAACAGAGGUUGAUCUAAAUCAUCAAACACAAGCAUAUGCCUGUUUCCAUUUGUCAACUUACAAUUUGAAUAGCUUGGGUAACGAUUAUGUUGACCCUAAAAACUAUCAGGUUUACGUGGCCCACAGACCGAGUAAUUAAUAAGCUAACUACGUCAUUCGGUUAUGUGCAGGGCGUGCCAACUCGACGGCCAAGCUCGAUCGGGGAGUAAAAUGUGUUGUUGUGUUGGGCAUUGCUGACUUCUUGAUCCUGCUAUUGCGGCCGAGGUAGAAACACAUCUAGCCUUUUGGGUUCCAGAGCCUGAAGACACGGCUGCUAGUUCUGUGAGUUCACAAAUCGUCAACGCCGGGUUCGGUCAUGGUGAUUAUAUUCGUAAUAGUAUAACCACACCGAACUAGCACCAGACUAUAUGGACACAAGUACUCGAAAGUGACGUAUGUCUUGAUAGUAAAUGUGGUUCAACCGUCGGAAUGUCGGACUCUGAAUCUCACUUGCGAAUAUCCAAUCAUAAAACAACUCGGCGUUCAAUGUGCCGAGCCUAGUAACCUGUAACACCUCACUUCGUUGAGAAGGUUGAUGAGAUGACCUCUACCAGCAAGAACUCGAAAGUCACUAUCGACCGGGACUUGGAUAAAUAACCAGUAGGUCUCGAAGCAGUGCUGUUUAUCCAAACUGAAGGAGGUUCUCCUCGGUCGGUUGAUUCUACGGCUCCAGUACUGUGCUACAUUGGUUCUGUUAAUAAAGCUUCUUGGUUUCGGUGUUGUGCAGGUUGAAUGGUAAGAAGAUGUUGAGAUUGUUGACGGGGAAGCGUCUGGUUUUUGUUGGCGAUUCUCUCAACAGGAACAUGUGGGAGUCUUUGCUAUGUGUUCUUAGAAACUCAGUGGAUGAUAAGAACAAAGUCUAUGAAGUUUCUGGUAGGCAAGAAUUUCGCACAGAGGGCUCUUACUCCUUUGUUUUCGAGGUAUGUUAGUUUCAAUUUCAUAGACUCAUAAAUUCUUCCUUCUUACCUUUCGGCCUUGUUCAUCUUAUUAAGUAAUAUUAAUGUAUUUGUUGUUCAAUGGAUCAAUAGGAGUACAACUGUUCCGUGGAGUUCUUUCAAUCACGGUUUCUAGUUCAAGAAUGGGAGAUGCUGGAACCAAGUGGAUCAAAGAAGGAAACGCUUCGCAUUGAUUUGAUUGAGAGAUCCUCUGACAACUACAAAAAUGCAGAUGUUCUCAUCUUCAACACAGGUCACUGGUAGACUCAUGAGAAAACUUCCAGCGGGUAAUUCUCCUGCUCCAAUUCACUCUAUGUCAUGGAUUUUUUGGAAAGUAGUCACUAGGCAGCGAAGUUAAAAUAUUUAUAAAUCUUGCAGGAAGGGUUACUAUCAAGAGGGUAGCCAUAUUUAUGGUGAACUGAAUGUUGACGAUGCAUUUCGCAAGGCUUUAACGACAUGGGCUCGAUGGAUAGACACCAAUGUAAAUCCUAAGAAAACUGCUGUUUUCUUCCGGGGCUAUUCACCUUCUCACUUUAGGUACAUUUUGAAGACAUGAAAUACUUCAACUUGGUUAACAAAUGUAUUGCAUCUUGCUAAUCUUUUUACUCACAGAGGCGGAGCAUGGAAUUCUGGAGGGCAUUGCCAUGGCGAAACAAAGCCAACUACCAGCUUGGAAUCCACGGAAUAUGGAGGAGCGUAUCCAACAAACAUGAAAAUCUUUGACUCGGUACUCAAGGGGAUGAAGACGCCAGUCAACUAUCUGAACAUUACAACAAUGACUGAUUUUCGGAAGGAUGCUCAUCCAUCGAUUUACAGAAAGCCGAAUUUAACUGAGGAGGAGCGAAAACCGCCUAUGAUCCACGAUUGCAGUCACUGGUGCCUCCCUGGCGUUCCUGAUACAUGGAACGUGCUAAUAUAUGCUCAACUCCUCAAACAUAACCAGAAACAACAUAGACAGAAGAAACAGCAAAAUCAGAGGACAACUUCUUAAAUAUGGAGAAAAAAAAUUAUAAAGUAUACAUGUUUUGUUGGAAAGCUCACCGUACGGAGAAUAUCGAACAAGUAUGAUCAAACGAAGGAUAAGAGCAAUAGUUGUAGACUUGUAGUUAGAAAAAGAGAUGGCGCAAUGUGGUUUAGUGAAAAAUUGUGUUUCCAGUUGUGGGAUAGAGGUGGUGAGGGAAACAGGAUUUAGCCCUUGCGUCCUCUCUGGUGCAUUUGAAGGAGAGGCUUGAAAAAUCGGUGACUCGAAACAGCGAGUGCCGGUGAUCAUGGUGGUCGCAGAAGCUGGUUUUGGUAUUGAGAAGGUCAUGAAUAUAAAAUUCUGGUAUGGUACUGGUUUAACGCCACAAUGUGCAGUUGUGGUUGCAACUUUAAGAGCCUUAAAAUGCCUGCAUGACUGAGACUGUGGCUGAAGCCGGUUACAUGAAAUUUUCCAGGCAUGUCUCAAACACGAAACACUAGAGUGUAAGCGUGGUUGUUACUGCAAACAAAUUUUCGAUUGAUAGUGAAGCAGAACUAAAUGCAGUCAGAAAUAUGCAGCAUUGUGCAGCCGGGGCAUAUGAGCACUUAAUUAUACUCAUCAUGCACUUUGUGGAAAAGAAGCGGUUAGUCACUUCAUCCCAUUAGUCUUAUUAUUGGCAAUAGGAAUUGGACAUCAAUUUCUUGUAUCCGAAGAAAUGAGUCACUAUUAAUAUCGACACAUAUGAGAUCGCCAGCCCUUCGGGAGUUCCUCUAUUUUCUUCUUGCUUGCAAUUGCCUUCGCCUAUGAGCGGUAGGUCUCGGGUUCGAGACUUGGGAGCAGCUUCUCCAUAAAUGGGGGUAAGGCUAGCCGACAUUCACCUCUCUCAGACCUUGUGUAAAGCGGGAGCCUUGUGCACUGGGUACGACCUUUUGCAUUGCAGAUCCUACUAAAACUUUCAAUCCCAGUUUUAUACUGUGGUUGGAACAACGAGCACAAUGCCGGAUUUUCUGACUAGGCCUCGCUUCUAUCACAUUGAUCUUGACACCACCUAUCGGAAAUUAGGUUAUCAGUCUUGCUUGAAAAUCAAUGUAUAUGGCUCUCAUAUGCUCACCGAAGCAACAUUUUCCGACGUCCAUCAAACAAAAGCCGGCCACCAUCUCUUCCCCCUUACAAAUUACACUUCUGCAAACUUCUGUUAUUGUGCUCUUUGAUUGUUAUGUCAGUUUUUUGCAUUACCAAAUAACAAUGUCACAAAUAAAAACAAAUUUUUGUGUCACCUUUUUUAGCUUGCUACGUACAAAUGCUGUUAAAAUUUUACCACAUUAUAAUUUCCUCUUUCAAACAUUGACUCCACUCUUUUUUUAACUAUUAUUAAGGAGAGAGAAGACUCGAAACUAUUACAUUAAUUUAAGAGAUGUGGAGUUUCAAACCCGAAAUGCAUGUAGGGUUGGAAGCUUCUCGGGUUCGAAACAUCGAAUCCACUCUGCAUGCCACUUUUACUACGAAAAAGGGAACCACUUUAAUUUUGUUUUAUUAUCAUUCUUGGCUGUUCAUGAUUUCACUUUAACUACAUAACAUUUAAUUGAUAAUUACUCAAAUCAUAAAAAUAUUGGUUCAGUGUUAGAACAUUUAUCUUGGUAUUCUAAUGAAAGAAAAAAAUAAUUGAACUCAUACUGCUAUCAUAUUUAUGAUAUGGAUAAGUGUGUAUAAUACCUGUAUAUAGAAAUCAGACAACUUAAAUUUAAUAUUUAUAACACUACUGAUACACUAAUGUGAGUUUACUUCGUUAAUAUCACACUUAUGAGCGUAAUAUAUCACAAUCAUAAGUUCAAUAUAUUGCUAUCAAACUCAAUUUUUUUGACCAACUGCAAUGCAAGAGUGUGACUCCUAUAUAUGUAAAUAUAGGGAUGUGAUAUCUACACACCAUUUUUUACUUCUCUCACACCCUUUUAAUUUUCGGCCGUCGGAUCGGAUGAAUUGAAGAAGAUUAAAGGACAAAAAUUAACAAGAGGUGUGAUACCCUGUAAAUAAAAAAAGGUGUGAUAAGAUUGUUAAUAAAUGGAUAUACUGUUAUAAACGAAUGAAUUGGUAAAAUUAUCAAAUAAUGUGUGGUCACGCAAAAAAAUUACUCCAAAUCAAAGUGAGAGGGACGUGAGAUAUUUUUCUUACAAAAAAAAAAAAAAAUAUGCCACUUGUUCAUAAAUUAUUAUUACAUCUGCAUUUGUUUUUUAUGUUCAAUUACAUCUGCAUUCUUAUAUUCAAAAAUAGCAACUUUCAACCGUGCAAGUAGACUAAAGGUUGAUUUGAUAUUGCUGUUAUUUGAAAAAAAAUUACUUCUGUUGUAUUGUGAGAAUAAAUAGUUGUGAAAUAAAGCAGUGUUUGGUAAACUUUUUUUGUAAAACUGCUUUUGAAAAAAAAAGCAGUAUUAUAGUAUUUAAUAAACUUUUAUGUAAAACAGAUAUAAAAAAAAGUUGAUUUUUCAAAGUUGGGUUUUACAGCUUUGUGUUUUUGAUUUUUUUUCCACUCAAAACUGUAAAAAAAAACAAAAACCAAAUGUUUACCAAAUAUAAAAACAUUUUUUUAUAGCCAUUUUUUUUCACAAUUACCUCAAUACAAAGAGCUAACCACCAAACUGAAAAGUGGUCUUCACAGCAGAAACUGUAUGGAAAAUUAAUUCUUCCACCCACACAGGUCACAGGCUCGCAAACAAUGGCGGAUUACUCAACCCAGACAACCCCAAAACCCACAAAGCACCACCACUCCCCCACAAUCCCAAGACCAGAGGCCUUCUCCAAGCCCUCUCUUUCUUCCCCAAUCUUCUUCCCCUCCAGAAGAACCGCCGCCUUUGCCUAUGGCUUCUCGUUCGUCUGCAUCGCUUGCACUUUCUUCCUGGUUUUCAACCCAUCUGGCUACUCUUUCCCUUUCGGCUUCAAGAACAUCUUCAAAACCCCUUUUGAACUUUCCCGGGAAACCCCAUUUUCCUGGAAAGCUGAAUAUUUCCCGCGUUUGGAUGAGAGUGUAGGUUUGCAGUCUGAUAUGGCUAGUGCCCAACUGCCGAACCCAAUUCUUUUCUUGCCCCAAGAAUCCAAUCAGACUUUGUCCCAGAACACUACGAUUCAAGUAACUGGGAAAAUGGGAUUUUCCGGGAAACUGGAGGGUUCAAGAAAAAAUGAAUCUUUUGCUAAAGAUUCUGAUGGGGUUUUGGGGCAAGCAGUGGCAUUGACCUCGAAAGAGAGUGAUGAUGCUAGUGAGGCAUUGUCUGAAUCUGAGAAGCAGAGCAAUCAAACUCAGCCCGGUUAUGAAUUUUCGAGGGAUGAUUGUGACCUGUUUGAUGGAAUGUGGGUGAGAGAUGAUUCGUAUCCGCUUUAUGCUCCGGGUUCUUGUCCUCUUAUUGAUGAAUCCUUCAAUUGUUUUCUUAAUAAGAGGCCGGAUAAUCGCUACGAAAAGUAUAGAUGGCAACCCAAACAUUGCAAUCUUCCAAGGUGCAGGGCUGUUUUUACUUCUGAUUUAAAAGCAUGUUUUGUUUGUACAUUGCAUUGCAUUUGGUUUUGCUUCUAAAAAAGGUCGUACCCAGUGCACAAGGCUCCCGCUUUACGCAGGGUCUGGGAAAGGUGAAUGUCGGCUAGCCUUACCCCCAUUUGGUUUUGCUUCUAAAUUAAGGUAAUUUUGCAUGACUAGUUCGACUUCUAAAGUUAGCAGUUUUAGGAAUUUGUGCUUGUUAUGGUUGUUUUUCAUAAGUGCAAAUUUACUUGUUUGCAAAUUAAUCUUGUGAGGAUCAAUAUAACAAUUACUUGUUAUGACAGUUUAAAAUUCACACUGAAUUUCUGUUUUUAAAAACAACGGAGUUUCGUUGUGUGUACUAAUGUGUCUGCGUGUGUAUGUUUAUGUUUUAUGCUUAUGCAUUCGUGUAUUGUUUUUGUUGAAUAAAGCUUGUUGGUUCAGAUUUGGUGAUGCCGGUUUCUGGUGAACUUUUUGUGCAGGUUGGAUGGUAAGAACAUGUUGGGACUAUUGAGAGGAAAGCGACUGGUUUUUGUUGGGGAUUCUCUUAAUAGGAAUAUGUGGGAGUCUUUGCUUUGUCUUCUUCGAAAUUCAGUGGAUGAUAAAAGUGGAGUUGUUGAAGCGUUGGGUAGGAGCGAAUUUCGUUCAGAGGGAUCUUACUCUUUCGUAUUCAAGGUAUGUUCGCUAUCUUGGAAUUCAAGGUAUGUUCUCUGACUUCGAAUUCAUAGCCUGAUAAAUUCUUCCUUCUCUCCAUUGGAUUUGUGUCGUUGCUGAAUUUCAUUUUGACCAGAGUGAAUUAGAUAGUUCACAACACUAGACCAGAUAUAAUUUGCUAAUGACUUGAGAAUUCAAACAAGUAGAAAUAUUUACGUGUUUUUUUUUUUCUGGAGUGGAUGAAUAGGAGUACAAUUGCUCAGUGGAAUUCUUUCGAUCGCCAUUUCUAGUUCAAGAAUGGGAGAUGGCAGAUGCAAAUGGAUCAAUAAAGGAAACGCUUCGCCUUGAUUUGAUUGAGAGAUCCUCCGAUAAGUACACAAAACUGCAGAUGUUCUCAUCUUCAACACAGGUCACUGGUGGACUCAUGAGAAAACUUCCAGAGGGUAAAACUCAUUCUCCCUCUCACUCUAUGUCAUUAAUUAAUUUUCGGAACUCGGAAAUACUAAACGAAUAUAAGAAUCUUGCAGGAAGGGUUACUAUCAAGAGGGUAGCUACAUCUACGAUGUAUUGAACGUUAAAGAGGCAUUUCGGAAAGCUUUAACAACAUGGGCAAGAUGGGUGGAUACCAACAUAAAUCCUGAGAAAACUAUUGUUUUCUUCCGGGGCUUUUCACCUAAUCACUUUAGGUACAUAGACCACAUCCAGUACUUUUUAACUUUUAAAACCUCACGGUUCGUUCACAAAUAUACAGCAUCUUCAUAAACCUUUUACCCUUUGCAGAGGUGGAAGAUGGAAUUCGGGAGGGCAAUGCCAUGAUCUAAUAGAGCCACUUGCAAAGGAGACAAAUAGAGGAAAAUAUGCAUCAAAAUUGAGAAUAUUUGACUCAGUAAUCACUGGAAUGAAGACGCCAAUAUUCUAUCUAAACAUUACGAGAAUGACUGAUUUCAGGAGGGAUGCUCAUCCAUCGAUUUACAGAAAGCAGAAUUUUACAGAGGAGGAGCGGAAAUCGCCUUUGAGACACCAGGAUUGCAGUCACUGGUGCCUCCCUGGUGUUCCUGAUACAUGGAAUGAGCUUCUAUAUGCUCAGCUCGUUCGACAUAACCAGAAGCAACAACAACAGCAGCGUCAAGACCCACAGCGACAGAAACCCUAGAUAAAUGAUUAGACAGAUGCCUUGUAUAGAUGGGAUCAUGUCAAAAUAGUUUUGGAGAAAAUGUUUUCUGUUGCAUCUUUCUAUAGGAUUGUAGGAGGAAACAAAAUGAUGUGAUAUUCUUUGUAAAAUUGAGUCUCGGUAAUAUAAGCUGAUAAUAUCUUUUUGUGCAAAUGGAAGUAAGAUGAUAAUUGUGAGUUCUGUCAUAUGAGUUAGAAGAUGAGAUCGUUGCUCUCGUAGCCAUGGUCGUCACAACCAUCAUACGAAGCAAAAGCUUAACUAGGUUUACGAUUACACAACCAUAAUUAUUUCAAAUAAUGCUCAACACCAGAGUAGCAGAUGAUCCAUAUGUACGGUGUUAAAUGAACAAACUGUUCCACACGAAGCAAGUGAAUGAGAUCAGUCGGUAGACUCAGCACAGCCUUAGGAGAAAGGCUUAACUACCACCAAAUAGGCGAUCGUGAUGGUAUUUCAAACUAAUUUCGCACUACAUGUGAGCGAUCGAUAUUUAUUUAGAAAAUAGUCAUAAUGGCGUACACGUUGUAGCUGUAAGUCCUUCUCCACCCCCGUGCAAAGAACACGUGAAAUAUGCAUAUAUGAAUCUCUGCGGUGUGAAGGAAACAAAAUGCUCCAAUGAAGCAAGUGAGAUCACUCAGCACGGCCCAGGAAGAAAGACAACUACACCGAUUGUGCACAUCUGAUCUGACCAUUGUUUUAAUUUAAUUUGUAGAAAUGAAACUAGGGUCUUCAAAAAUUGAGGAAUAUUCAGCAGCAUAAAGGUGAUGUUACCACUAGUUGUAGAAACAUGGGGGUCUUUGGAUUGUUUGAUGGAUGUGUUUUGAGUCAAACAAUUACUAGAAGAGCAUAGAAUUUCCGUUAUGUUGGUUUAUGAUGAUCUUCUUUUGCAGGUUGGAUGGUAAGAACAUAAUGGGAUUAUAGUGAGGAAAGCGCCUAGUUUUUGUUGGUGCGUGAUUCUCUUUGAGGGAAUAUGUUAGAUCAUCCAUCGGUCUGUGUCUUGUUAGAAGUUCAUUGGAUGAUAAGAGCGGAGUUGUUGAAGCCUCUCGUAGGAGCAAAUUUCGUACACAAGGAUCUUGCUCGUUCAUAUUCAUGGUAUGUUGUUGAGUUGUUCAUUAGCCAUUUCGUUACAAGCAGAGUGAAUGAGAAAGUUCGCACCACUGGAUACAAUUUGCUAUGACUUGAGAUUUCCAAUUCAAACAAGUAGAAAUUUAUGUUUGUAGUGGAAUGGAUCGAUAGGAGUAUAACCGUUCGUUGUAAUUCCUUUAAUCACCAUUUCUAGUUCAAGACUAGGAGAUGCCUCCUAGUUAACUGAGCUUUCUUCUGCCAUUCUUUGUAAGCUGAAAGAAACUCAAGAACAAGGACAUGCAGAGACUGGCCUGAGGAUACCCGCUCUGAUACCAUGUGGAAAAAUGAUAAAAGUGUGUGUGCGCGUGUAUAUAUAUUCAAUAACAUUUCAAUUAUACGUCACACAGAUUGGAGGACGUUUAAGUAGCAACAAGGAGAAGAUGUACACACCACAACUUUCUCCUUUAGUUAAACCUUGACUGCGGGAUUUGUCUAAGCAACAAACAUCCAUGAAUUAAGGCAAAUGAUUUCGGGAGUAAGAGUGAAACAAAGAAAACCCGAGUUUCCAUGAUAUAAGCUGAUAAUAUAUAUCUUCUUCAAAUAUAUGUGGUUGAUUAUAGUGAAUUCGAUCUGUCUUUUUUCAAGUUUACCGAGAAAAGUGGACUAGUAGCCAUAGAAGCUCAAAGAUGAGCUCGGUACUUGUAGUAAUGAUCAUCACCAUCAUCACAUGAAGCAUCAAGCUUAACUAGUUUUACAUAACCUUAAUUAAUUUAAUUAAUAUUCAGCUACCAAAGUAGCAGCUGGUCCAUAUGAAUCUCCAUUAACCCUACGGCAGUUCAAUCGAAUCUCUCCAUCAGUACCGGUCAAGGGGCUUAUAUUCCCCAUUUUAAUCAUGGAUUCCACGAAACUCUCAAAGAAUGCGCUCUGAUUAGUGCUGAAGUUGUUAACAAUGUCGGUGGUAUCAGCCCCGCUAGUUGAAAACAGCUCUUGAUCGCUUUGGAGCAAGCCUUUCUGGACUUGAAGAUUCGAGAAAUACUUUGCAUCAAAAGUGUCGGGCGUUACAGGAUCCAAAUUGGCUAGCACACUGCUAUUCCCAUUCUGCGGGCAUAUCUCACUCAGUGUUUGUAAGUAGGUUGAGUUCAAGGUUGGAUCAGGACUGCCUGUGCCGCUGAAGUUAUACAAUCGAUUGGUGAAAGAUUGACAUCUAGCACGCCCAAAUGUGUGAGCACCUGUCAAUUUUGCAUGUCAAAUUUUGUUAAUAUAAAGUAAAGCAACAUAGUGAGGAUAUUUUUUUUUUUGUAGCCGUGCGAUCUGCUUGCUUACCAGAUAGUGCAACCAGAUCAGUGGUGUUGAGGCCUACAGCUAAGAAGUUGGCCUUGAGUCCAUCAAGUGUUAAAGUAGGAGCUGGAAUGGCUGCGUUGGCAGCCGUGCGGUUCGCUGUUGUGCUAUCCCUUCUUCCCAGUAGCACUGUCCAUGAAGGACCUCCAGACUGUAACCAUAGAUUAAUUACUCAAUUACAAUAUCUCACGAAACAAAUGCUUUAAAUUGUUGUUGAAGCUUGAAAUAUAUACCAAAGCAACAGAUUCUUCGGCAGCAAUGGUGAGAAUAUCAGCACAGGAAACGAUGGCGGGACAAGCAUUCUCCAAUGCAGUCUUGAUACUGUCCACAACAUCAAAUCCUCUGGCUGAGUUGUUAUUUGCAAAUGCUGUUUUUUCGCUGUCUAUGGUACUGGUAGAACUGGUACUAUUGUCCAACAGAAUUGAUCCAUCGCAACCCUGAAAUAGAAUCAACAAGUUCUUUUCAUCUCAAAAUUGCACGUUUGGAAUUUUACUUCUUCUGAAGUUCUAUAAACAAAGAAGCAGCUGCUAAUAAAAGCACUUUUGUGCUUGGGCAUUGUUCCGAAGUCCUGUAACAUAGAAGCUGCCAUAUAUACAAAGUAAUCUUGAUUGGUAUUUCAAAGUUGAAUAUGUUGCUCAGCUUAAAUCUUUGAAUAACUAAAGCAUUGCAUCUGAUACUAUGAUAUAUUUUCAGGGAAAUUAUUAUUAAUUCCAUAUGGAUAAAAGGAAAAGAAAACAUGGGCAGAUCUUUUUGUGCUCCAACUACAAGUUCUAUUGCUACAAUUGAAUUAAAAGGGUUCUUUACAACUACGCCAGUCAAAACUGUUGAGAAUGAGUCUCAUAUUGAUGGAAUGAAGGAUAUUGCAUGAGCUUAUAAGUAAGUUGGUUUAUUCCCCAUAUUACCAAUUAGUUUUAUGAUAGAACCUUAACUUUCUUAAAAAGCUAUCUUAAAUAGUCAAAACACGUAAAUCUCCUUGCACUAUACACUAAAUAAGCAUAAUACCAUAAAUCGUACUGGUGCACUGACUACUGAGGCCAUUCUUAAAACCAAAAUGCUGGACUGGAAUUCGUGAUAAGAACACCGGCCAAAGAAAGAUUUAUAACAAACAAAGGGAUCAGAAGCAAAGAAGUGAAUUAUACGUUGACGAAGCAAUCGUGGAAGUGAAGUCGAAUGAGGCUGGCAGCAAUCCGGGGAUCGGUCUGCAGAGCCUCUUGAAUGACUCCACGCACAAUGCUGGUGGCAUUCGGGCAUGAUGCAUCAUAAAACGUAGGAGUCAACUGAGCAUCACCACAUCCUGCACUUGCACACAAGAUUAGUAAGAUUACAAAAAUAUAUUUGUAACAAAAUUGAGCGCUACAAGAAGAAGGCAUCUUCUUAGGUGGUAAUCGAUUUUUCUAACUUAUGUUCCUAAAUGCAUAUGUGAGCCAAUUAGUAGGUCUAUUUAUGGAGUGACAGAAAGUGGAUUGGCACCAAACUGACACGCUUUAUUGGAUAUAAAAAUGAAAGCAUGUGUUAGGUAGAUAAGUCGAUCAUGGAUUUUAAAGUUCAAAUUUAACUUUGAUAAAUAAAGAGUUGUGUUAUCCACAUAUUUAUUUUUACUUCAUACACAUCUUCUUAAUUUGCAGCCGUCGGAUCAACUGAAUUAAAGAAUAUCAAAAGGCAGAAAUUAACAAAGAGUGUCUGAUAAAUAAAAAAAUAUGUGUGAAUAGCACACUCCUAAAUAAAUAUAUAAGCCCUUUUAUCCCUUUACAACCACGCAGAUACGCUGGAAUCCAGACUGUGGUCCCUGGAUGCAAUAUAAUCUGCCAUGUGAAGGAUAUAAUGUUGCGCAGGAAAAAGUUGAGGUUUCAAUUCAAAAAGCACCUAAUAAUUAGAGGCGUAUUGAACUUGUAGUGUGCAGAUAAAAAACGUUUUUUGAUCAAUAUUGUAUCUUGAUUGAAAUUCAAGCUCCACAUUAGAAAACAAUGGAAUAACUAUCACUGCAAGAAAAUGAGACAAUAUUUGAAAAUUAUCUUUUCUUACUAAAAAAAGAAAAUGAAAGAUUCUAACAUUAGUUGAAUAAGUGGAUAUAUAAAUUAAUGAGUUGAAAUAAAGAGGUAUCAGAGAUAUCGUUGUUUUGUUAAUUACACAAAGACUUAUAACAUCUUUAUAAUUUAACGUAUAUUUACUGGAAUAGGAUCAGGGAUAAACAUUUUGACAAAUAUUUUUACAUUUUUUAUAAGCUCUUGGAUAUUUAUUUACAUCAAACACUUUUAGUUAAAGUUAAGAUGCUACUAAAUGACGAGAUUGUUUUACGUAAAAUAUUUUGAUAAAGGAAUUUCGUGAAGUUAAAAUAGAUCCAGCCUGCAUCUUCCUCCUCUGCCAUUUAGCUCAAUAACUCUCCAACAACAAAAAAGAGGUUUGCAUUAUGCCAUUGACGAAAUUCAUCUUUAACUUUAAUGCAUUGAAUAUUUCUUAACAUGGCUAUAUAAUACCAUUUGUAUGCCAAGAAAAAAAAAGAAGCUAAAAGCAAAUCCAAACAAGAAUAUAUCUUAUAUCCCAUUCCGAAAAUUUAUUCUAUUUGCCAGGAAAAUAUGGGUUGCCUUCUUCAUUCAAUUACAAUUUUCCUCCUGAAAUAAUAUCCAAUUAACCAUCAUAUAUCAUAUGAUUAUUUAUUUUGUAGAAUUUUUUUGUCAAAAAUUCAUGCGAUAAACAUUUUACAUGCAUAUAUGGUUAUUUGUUUUGUAGUUUUUGUUGCAAAAAAUCCAUGUUAUAAACAUGUUACAUGCGUAUUGUGAUGACUUACCACCAAAAGCAUUAAUGGAGGGCUUCCUCCCUCCUUGUUGUUCACUUUUGCUUUCCUCCCAAUUUUUUUUUUUUUUUUUUUGCAACAAUAUAUUAAAUAGCAAACAAUAAACUACUCAACAUUGCACCAUUAAUCACGUAGUUGGAAUUUAAGUGAAUCUCCAUCCCCCAAUCUCCGUAGAUGUACUAGACUUUGGCUGCGAAUCCACAAGAUUAGUCAAAUAGGCUUCUAGGGUUUUUGUUGUUUGAGCGAAAUUCCCAGUUUUUAUUCAUUUUAAGUUUUAAUCUUUAUUUGUUUAUAUAUUAUAUUAGUUAUAAUCCAUGUCAUCAUUCAUGUUAUUUAAGACUAAAAGCCUCCACAUUAUUCUUAAUCAAAACCUUUGGAUGUUAUAAAAUUUAAAAGUUCAAAAGAAAUAUUAAUGUAAAAAAUAUUUGUCUCUUGAUCGUAUUCCAUAUGUACAUGAGUUAUUAUUUAUAGAAAUUUAAACUAAAUAAGCAAAACAUAGCUAACAUCUCUAGAAAUUUAACCUUUCUAAUAGCAACUAUUUACUUUAAUUUAGUCCUGCAUCAUGGUCUGGUUUCGUGAUGUUAUAAGGGGUGUAACGUCAUUGCAACACAUACCAUGCCAUUAUUUUUCAGGGCUUAGCUAGGUGGGAGGUUUAAAGCUUGACCCGUUGCUCUUCCUAGUGGCGGAGCUAGAAUUCUGAAUGAGGAGGGGCAUUUCACAAAUAUGUGUGUGUGUGUGUGUGUGAGUGUGUGUGUGUGUGUGUGAGUGUGUGUAAAAAGUUGAAUUCAUAACAUGUUGACAUAUGCAAUUUGUGUAAUCCUCACAAAACUGAAAAAAAAUCUCUUAAAUUCAAUACUAAGAAGAAAAAAAUGUAAAAAUCUAGACAACCAAGUAAGAGGUAGGUUGUGGAAGGCUAAAGAAAAUACAAAGAAGUAGAAAAGGAAGGAAAUGGGGGAGAGGUUUGCAAAUCAAGAAGGUGGGUUGCCUUAGAAAAUUAUAGGGUGUCUAUUACUGUUAGGUGAGAGAAUCGAACCAGAAGUGAGAUUGCUUUUUCCAUUAAAAUUGCACAUCUCCUUUAAAACUUCCCUGCCAAACUUAUCGUUUCAUUAGACAACCGAAAAAAUUUAAAAUCAAAACAGCUUAACGACGUUGUUUGCUUCAUCUUCUUCUAUGAGAUUCACACCUCAGAUGAAGUCAGGAUGGGCCGGGACUACCCUAGUCCCUUUGUGGCUCCGCCCCUGGCUCUUCCCAGCUUUUCCCUCUUGCCUUUGUCCUUGGGAGCUGCUGUCUCUCUAUUUUUUGCUCCUUUUUUCACGUUCUGUUUUUGUCGUUAGCUUGGUUUGGUCCGUAUUAUGUGACCUCUCCUAGCUGUUGUGGGAUUUUUACAAUUUUCCGAAGUACGAGAUAUCUUGAAUGUUUUAGAUUUUUUUAAGAAAAUACAAAAAAAAAAAAAAAAAAAGAAGAUCUAACUCUAUACUUCAAAGCAUCCUAAAAUUUUUGUUUGUUGUAUGACUCGGGAUUUGUGCCUUUUUUCCGAGAUUCUCUACGGACUCCAUGACAAACUUUACAAUUUCCCCCUUCCAUCACAAGAAUACUACAGAAAUUAGACAAAUAAGAAGAGAUAUCAUGCUAACCAAAGAAAAUCAUAACUUAAUUACACAUACGAUUACCUCUAAUCCAUGUCCAAAGCACACUAAUAGGAGCAGUCAAAUUACUAAAAAUCUGGAUAAUUAAAAUGAUAUGAUUUCUAAAAUACUAAAAAUCUGGAUAAUUAAAAUGAUAUGAUUUCUAAAAUAGCCCAGAGGUAUAUAGUGUGUUCGAAAAAAUAAAUUCACAAAGCAUAGCUUUAAAGUUGCCACAGACUCAUCACCACAAAAAAAAAAAAAAAAAAAAAAAAGGAUUAUAUGGAUCAAAGUCAAUGAACUUAAAUUGAUAAGUAAGUUUUAAGAUUAAACAUAAUAAUUUUCAUAGGAAUUGGUUCUCUAUCGAAUUAUCACAAAAACAUAUGCCUUGACUUUAAAGUUUAAACUGGUGGGAAUUGGUAGUAUACUGAAAUAUCUUAGGAAUGUAUACCUCGACUUUAAACUAGUGUACUAGCCCCGCCCACAGAGUUGUGAGGGGUCUCUGGCUGCUUUUAGGUCAUGCAACAUUUCUACACGUGAAAGUGUAGAGCUAGCUUUACUUAAAGGCAGGACUAAAAGUCUUUCCCCAUAAAAAGGGGCAGGCCCACGUUUUGCUUAUCGAGUCUCACCUAAAGUAAGAAAUGCCCCAGGUGUCUGUUGGAUAAAUAACAACAAUUAAUAAUAAAUUUAUGUGUACUAAUAAAUAAUAAAUACUAAUAAAUAAUUUAAGAAAAUAUGAACAAAACGAAAUAAUAUUAGCAGAUAAACUGAAGAUCGAAGCUUGUGUACUGCAAUGUCCUUGAAACAAAAAUUUUGUCCCUACUCAAUGCUUGUAGUUCUACGAACGUCUACUGCUUCACCAAGAUUCAACAAUCUAAGUUAGAAUUCCAGUACCGGAAAACUUGAUUUCUAACGAAUUUCUUUGUGGUUCUCUUAGUAAGAAUGUUUGGGAUUGUAGAAGAAUUUUAUUUUUCUGUGUUCUAAAUGCCAUGCAGAUAGAUGUCUAUAUAAUAAGCUUCACCAAGAUUCAACGAUCUAAGAUGUAUAUAUAAUAAGCUUCACCAAGAUUCAACAAUCUAAGCUAGAAUUUCAGCACCGAAAAACUUGACUUCUGGCGAAUUUCUUUGUGGUUCUCUUAGUAAGAAUGUUUGGGAUUGUAGAAUAAUUUUAUUUUUAUGUGUUUUAAUUGUCAUGCAGAUGCAUAUAUAUAAUUUUAUUUUUCUGUGUUCUAAAUGUCAUACAAAUGGAUUUAUAAAUAAUAAGUUUAUGCCUGAGUCCGUUGAUAUAUUAAUUAUAUAUUAAUUAUCAAUUAAUUAGUACACUUCAAAGCCCAAUUCCAAGGUUGAGCCUAAUUUUCUUCUUCAUGUUCCAUCACUUGAAUCACUUUCUAUAAAGGACAAAACCUUAUAAAGUGAGGGAACAUUUUGACAGUGACCAAUGUGAGACAAUGAAAUUUCUACUUAAAAAUUCCAAUAGUAUCCUUGUUAAGAGAGUUUCUUAGUAUUGUGUAACAAACGGAGCGUAAUUGUAAAAGAAAAGUAUACAUCUCAUGAUUAUAUAAUUGGACGGUGAUUAGCUAGUCAAGUAUAUAUCUUUAUGGGUUAAUUAUAUAAUAUUCCCUCAGGUUUGAGGUCUAUUACAAUCUCAUACAACAUCUUUAAAACAUUUCACUUUCAUACCUCACCUACUAUUUUAUUUCAAUAUAGUACCUCCAUUACAUUUUCUAUCCAUUAAUCUAUUAAGAGCUGGCGUGGCUGCCACCUGUGUGCCAAGUGGCAAAAAAUUAAUUAUUUUUUAUUUCUUUUAAAAAAAAACCUGAAUCAUCUCAACCAAAAAAAGAAAAGAAAAAAAAACCACAUUUUCUUCCCCAUGCCUUUCCUCUUCCCUACAACCCAAACACCCCCAUCUCCCCCCCCACCCAAAACCAACCCGUCUCCUACCUCAUCACCCAAAACCAGAACCACUCCCCCACUGCCGUCCUCUCCUUCUCCAUCUUCGAUUUGAGCUCUAUUUUAAAAAAUUCCUCCCUGAAUUGACCUAGACAACCACAAAAAUCAACCGCAAUAAAGGUUAUAAAACCUCAUAUCCAUGCCAGAAUGAGAUUCGGUAGAUGAUGGAGGAGGUAUAGCGGAGCAUGCUGUUCAUCUCGUCGAAGGAGAAGAAGACGUGUACAGACGAGGGGGAUGAGGACAUCGCGGGGUCGUUGGAGGAGAUGGAGUCGUUGAGGUCGGUAGGGCGACGGUAGAAGAAGACGACGAAUGAGGGGUACGUGUUGCAUAGUCAGGUCUUGAGGAUCAAAGAAGAGGACUCCUAUCUCGGCGAGAGUACGAUGUCCAUCCUGCCGAAGGCGAUGUGGCGCCAAUGGAGGUGAGGCAGUUGGCAGCUCUGUGGGAUCUAAGGAGGAGGGCGCCAUUUUUAUGGGUGUGUGUUCUUCUGGGCAUCGGCUGUGGAGGGAGGGAGGGAAGGAGAGGUGCAAAAGAAGGAGGAGAGUCGGGGGGGGGGAAGAUGGGUUCUGGGGAUUAUAUAUAUUUUUAAUAAUUUUUUUUAAUUAAUUAUUCUUAAAUGUAUAAAAAAAAUUGUCACGUGGCAUAAAUUUGGCAGCCACGUGGCAGCUAUGUCAGCUCUUAACGAAUUAAUUGAUGGAAAAUGUAAUGGAUGUACUAUAUUGAAAUAAAAUAGUAGGUGAGGUAUGAAAGUGAAAUGUUUUAAAGAUAUUGUAUGGGGUUGUAAUAAACCUCAAAUUUGAUGGGUACUAUGUAAUUUAGGGCUGGGUUUGGUUCAAAACGGUUCGGUUUUUUGCCAAAAUCGAAACCGAACCGAAAUUUUGGUUCAGUUCGGUUCGGUUCAUUUUUUUCGGUUUCGGUUUUUUCCGGUUCGGGUUCGGUUUUUUUUCGGUUUUUUAUUUUUAUUUUUUAAAUGAUGUAAAUGGAAGGAACCUCCCUAGCAACCUCCCAGUUCUCAUAUAUCAGAGAAUUGAGAGCCUUAAAAUCCUGAAUAUAUUCAAGUAAUUCAACUUUAUGAUCAUGAAAUAAUACAGAAACAUAUAUUCAAAAUUCUCAAAACUUAAGCAAAUACAGAAACAUAUAUUCUUCAAGGAAAUGUACAUCGUCAGGAUUCAAAAUUCUAAAACUUUAAAAUUUACAAAAUCAUGAAAUAAUUCGACAAAUUAGUUGAUUGAUGCAGAUCGAAACAAAAAAAAAAAAGCAAAUGGGUUCGUCUAAAUGCCAUAAUCGGACUCCAAUAUUGCAUGCCCAAGGCCCACAUUCAAAUUCAUAGUCAAGUCCACAAUAGAUCUAGAAAAUUCCAAAACUUAUUCAGAGAAAAAUACAAACUUUUUCACCUUAAAUUACAUAAAUUUCAAAUGGGUAACCAUAAAAUUAAAAACCCAUGAACUGACAAAUAAAUUAAACCCUCAACCUUUGCUGCAGCGAUAUCACCAUGACCGUCGCAAGCUCUUACAAUUCCUCUUUUCGUCGGGUCUCGAUAUGGGCGAGGGAAAAUCAUGGUUUGGAAGAAGGAAUCCGCGAGGAGGAUAGGAGAGGACUGGAGAGAGAGUGAUUUGGAGGAAAAGAGGAAGGAGAGAGAGAGAGAGAGAGAGAGAGAGACUGAGGAAGCAUAGGUAGAAAGGAAGCAGCGAACGGACAGAGAGAAAUAGAGAAGUGUUUGAGAUCUAAAAUGAAAUGGGAGUGAGACGGCUAGGGUUUGCAAAGUUAGAAAAUUUUAUAAAGCAUUAAACAUAAGAAACCUAUAAAUAUUUUACUGGUACAAUUAUAACCACAAGGAGCCUACAGCAAGUUGGCUUGCACCAGCUAACCCCAACCUACAGGUUCAGGGUUCAAACCCUGAUGCCGACAUGUAUUUUUUUAGUAUUUAUAUAUGAUUUUUUUUCGGUUCGGUCUGGUUCGGUUUCCGGACCUCAAAAACCGAAACCGAACCAGUUAGUUUCGGUUCGGUUCGGUUUGACAAUUUCGGUUCGAUUUUUUUCGGCCUCGGUUCGGUUUGGUUUUCGGUUUUCAGUUUUUUUAACCCACCCCUAAUGUAAUUUAACCUAUCUUUAUUGUAAGACAGUAUACGUAUUUACCUAUUUAGUUAUGGAUUAGACACGCAUGCAUGCACAUUUGUGGAAAAGGUUUGUUUGAAAUGAUUAAUGUGUUGAAAGGUUAUUUCGGAAUCUUGAAAUGCAUGCAUGGGAAGCAGUAAGGAGUACUAAAAUUAUAAGGGGGCAUUUGUUUUCCCUCACUAACUGUUAUUGGAUUAAAUUGGACUAACUAUUAGACUAGUUGUUUGUUCCGUAGUGGUAUUAUGUUUAAUGAGAUUAAAGGGGACUCGCAUGGACAAACUCCUUCACUAGGAGUUCUUAGCGAGACCCCCAAUACCCAUGGGAUUGCUAAGACUUCGUCUGCUCCGCCUUCGUACGCUUUUUCUCAUCCUUUUUCUGCUCUCUAUUCUCUUGAGCACCGACAUCCACCAUCACACCACAACUCGCCAACUCUAGCGAGAUCACACCAUCAGCCCACCACCACUCUUUCCCUUUCUCCUCACCAUGAACCCAAAAUUUCAACCUGAGGAAGAUCUCGCUUUUACCGUUGUCCAUCCAACUCUAGUUGUUUGCUUCGCUGCGCUUCGAACUCAACCUUGGACUUGUCGGCUUCGCACAAUUGACGGGAUCUUGUGAACCCAACGGUGGGUGAGCCAUCCAAUGCGCUUGAAUGAAUAUGAGAGGCUAAAAACGCUGGAGCCACAACUACGUGUUCUCCGCCAAGGGUAGUGGCUUGGGAUUCUUGUUUUCAUUUGGUUUUAAUUUAAAUUGGGUUUUGAUUUCGAACUGGAUUUGAUGUGAUCUGGAAUUGGUAUUUGAUUUGCUCUGCAAUUGUUUGAAAGAUCUGCGGGUGUGGAAUGAAUUUUCGGAAGAGAGUAAGAGAAUUUAGAACAAAGAAAAAGAGAUUAAAUAAUAAAAUAUUAAUAUAUAUUAGAUUAAAUAAUAUUAAAUUAGAAUAUGUUAUUAUUUAACUUUUUAGUCUGACAUUACACCAAACGCUUCAUUAAGUUAGUACAGCUUAGUCUAAUAUAAGCCAGUCCAGCUUAGUCCCUGAAGCUAGUUCGGUUCGAGAUAAUCAGGUGCAACAAACGCAUCCAAUAGUAUAGAAUUUGUUUCGUACUAAAGUCAACAAAGGCAUGCAUGCGUGUCUUCGGUUACUAGUACUAGCUCUUGGGCAAAUUUGGCAGUCUCUCUCAUCUCAAUGAGAGAGAACAUUGUAUGUGGGUCUUAAAUCCUGUUAUAUUAUAAUUAAUUGGGUUUUUUUAUUAACACCCCACUUAAAUAUGUAAUACUAAACAACUUGUAACUCUAAUAUGAAAUGACUAUUCGAGCCCCAAAAGCUACUCUUACUCUCCAUUGUAGAACAAAACCCUAAAAACACAAAUUAGUUGAUGAAAAUAUAUCUUUUGAUGAACGGAACAAAAAAAUUGAGUUUUGCUCCUCGUUCAUUCGUUGGUUUUUAUAUUCAAGAAAUUAUUUAAAUAAUGGAAUAAAAAUUUGACUUUUUGCAAAGCCCUGCUCUAGUUGGAAUCCAAGAAAUAGGAAAAAAACUGGAGAAUAUUGUAAAAUUUUAAGAUGUAAUAAAUGUAAUAUUCUUGUGGUUGUUUGAUGAUGAAGAAAUUCAAUGUUUUUUGGCUGGUUGAAACUGACAUGACCUUAUAAGAACAGUUCCUACCAUUUGUCCUUCAGGCUUCUUAGAAUCCAACGUGAUUGUUCAAGAAAAUUUGAUGGAUGUUUAUAAAUCAAACGACAAGAUGGAGUUUUUUUACAAUUUAAUUCAUCUUUCUUGUAAUGUGGAUUGUUCUAUUGUGUGAAAGAGAUGAAGAGUUUGACGUGUGGUUAAUUAGUUGAUGAUUGUGGGGGUGUGUGAGAUGUGAGGUGUGGGGUGUACAAGAUGUGAGGGUAGUAUUGGAAAAUACGUGGGGUGUGUUAAAAUUUUUUUUUUUUAAAAGUAAAUGUAGAGUGUAUUAAGUAUGUGAGGUGUAGUCAACAAAUUGUGAGGUGUUAAUAAAACAAGCCUAUAAUUAAUUACGAGAAUUGUUAUUUUAACAUUUCAAAAAUUUUAUUCUACACUUUUCAUAAGUGUAUUUUUCUUUCUUUAUAUGGAAAGUUUAGAGUGCAAAAUGAGAUUUUUAGAGUGUCAAUAACAAUUUCCUUAAUUGAAUAGAAGUUCUCUUUGUAAUUAUAGUAUGUAUUAUAAAAAUGUGAUUUUCAAUUGUAAUUAGUCUAGAAUUUCCACCUCAAUAAGAAUUAAUAUAAUGCAUAUAUAUUGUAAUAUUGUUCACACAUCAAUACAAAGAGUCAAUAAUUCUACAUGCUAUCACUCGUCUAAGUUUUCUUAGGUCCUAGGUUUCUGCUCUCCCUUUCUUCCCUGGACGUCCCACCAUUAUUCCUCAUGGCAUCACCUUCUUCCUCUUUACCCGAUCAAAACGCUGCAACCUUCCUUAAACUUUCUACCGCCAACUAUAUUGUUUGGGUCAGUCAACUUAUCUUAUUGGUCAAGAUCUCUGGAAAUAUGUCUAUGGUUCUUCUCCCUCUCCCCUCCUUUCCCUAUUCGGCCCCAUGUCUGCUUCAAGGCCCACGCCCUUCAUUCCACAAUCAGCAUCUGCGCCUGCCUCUGCUGCUUCAUUUGCGCCACAAUCUGGACCUGUGCCCGUGCCUAUUGGACCUUGUGCACAAUCCACAUGCUCCUGUACUGGACCCGUGUCCACCACACCUCCAACCAGCUCAAUCUCCAGGCCCGUGCCUCCAUAUGUGCCUGCUAUCGAUUAUCCUCCUCCACUGCUUCCUCGGCUGUCACAUCUACUCAUUCCAUGGUCACUUGCCGUACUAGAUGAGCCAUAGCAAGCUUUCUCCUCUUAGAUUUAAUUUUUACAGGAUUUCUGCCAUCCAAAUAGAUUUGUUGACAGCUUUACCUUUCUCUCUGACUUCCUUUUUAGCCUAUGUAUCAUGGGUGACAUGAAUUCAACAUUUUACAAACUAUGCCUACUUAUCAGAAAAAUGUUAUUUCGUAAUGCUCAUAUUUUGUCGACCAUUCAGACAUAGUAGUUUCUUAGGUUUUAAACCUAGCAAUAUAUUUAGAUAUGUUAAAAUCGCCAUCUUGUCCAUGACUGGUCAAGUUUUAGAAGCAUAACAUCCUUCCAUUAUGUCAUCAUGAAUCCAGGUUAAGUGAUUCAUUUAUGUAUUAUUUCUAAAUUGCUUGAUACGAUACUAUUUACAAUAAUAUAGGCUAACUUGGAUAGUUAUUGAAUAUUUGUUUCUGGUUUCCUUCUCGAUGUUGAAGAUCUUCAUUCGCAAAAGAAGUGAGCGAUGGAAGAGUUCAUGAUGGAUUGCUGCGAAGGAUUAGACAUAUACAUAUAUUUAUAUUCUUUUUGAGCAUUCCAUAUCUAAAGUUACCUGAUGCAAAGACUGUAAGAACCUGUUUUAUUUUUUUAUUUAUAUUUUUUUUGCAAUUGCUAGAACGGCAACAGAGCUUGCAGGACAUAUAUUUUGUCAUGUUGCAUGCACACACAAAAUUUAUGUGAACUGCGUGCUACUUUUGUUUCUGAUGCAAAGAAACUAUAUUUUGUCAUUGCAACUUUUGUUAAUAGAAACUUUUGAAUUCGCCAUUUUGAUUGUAUAUUGGCUCUUGAUGUCAACUUAAUAGAAUGUAAAUGCAAACUGAACUACUUAUUUUACUGUUUCGAUUCACCUAUCUCUUGGUUUUUCAAUUAUUUGGAGAUGACCGUGUUAAUUUGUGGUUUUGUGGUAAUUACUCGAGUAAAAUGUGCGUUGUCUAGAUUGCUGCAUUUGAAAAUGCGAGUAUGUUGCUGCCGCCAUUUGAGUGAUUUUUUUUUAGGAUAUUAUUCAUUGCUAUUGUUGAUUAUGGUUUGAAAACGCCCAGCAGAGCGCUGACAGUUUUUCUAGUAAGUACUAAAGUUGUAAUUAGGGAAGGGGUGGGGUGAUUGCCUCAUGAUUGUUGCACUGUAAAAUUCACAUACAGUCUCUAGUUAAAAUAACACAAUACUUCGAAAACCCUGAGAUCCCGUGAUAUAAGCUGAUAAUAUAUAUCUUCUUCAACUGGAUGUGAAGUCGAUCUGUCUUUUAUUUAAGUUUACUGAGCAAAGGGGACUAGCCAUAAAAGCUCGAAGGGGAGCUCGGUACUCGUAGUCAUGAUCAUCACAAUCAUCAUAUGAAGCAUAACUACUUUUCCAUAACAUUAAUUUAUUUAAUUAAUUAAUACUCAGCUACCAAAGUAGUAGUUAAUCCAUAUGAUUCUCCAUUAACUCUACGGCAGUUCAAUCUAAUCUCCCCCUCGGUUCCGGUCAACGGGCUUAUAUUACCCAUUUUAAUCAUGGAUUCCCCGAAAUUCUCAAAGAAUGCGCUCUGAUUAGCGCUGAAGUUGUUAACAAUGUCGAUGGUAUCAGCCCCGCUAGUUGAAAACAGCUCUUGAUCGCUUUGGAGCAAGCCUUCCUCAACUUGAAGAUUCGAGAAAUAAUUUGCAUCAAAAGUGUCAGGCGUUACAGGAUCCAAAUUGGUCAGUACACUGCCAUUCCCAUUCAGUGGGCAUAUCUCACUCAAUGUUUCUAAGUAGGUUGAGUUCAAGGUCGGAUCAGGACUGCCUGUGCCGCUGAAGUUAUACAAUCGAUCGGUGAAAGUUAAACAUCUAGCACGCCCAAAUGUGUGAGCACCUGUCAAUUUUGCAUGUCAAAUUUUGUUACUAUAAAGAAAGGGAACAUAGAUAUAUUUUUUUGCAGCCGUACGAUUUGCUUGCUUACCAGAUAGUGCAACCAGAUCCGUGGUGUUGAGGCCUACAGCUAAGAAGCUGGCCUCGAGUUGGUCAAGUGUAAAAGUAGGAGCUGGAAGGUCUUCGUUGGCAGCCGUGCGAUUAGCUGUUAAGCUAUCCCUUCUUCCUAAUAGCACUGUCCAUGAAGGACCUCCAGACUGCAACCAUAGAUGAGUUACUCAAAUUCCAAAUCUCAUGAAACAAAAUGCUUUAAAUUGUUGUUGAAGCUUGAAAUGUAUACCAAAGCAACAGAUUCUUCGGCAGCAAUGGCGAGAAUAUCAGCACAGGAAACGACGGCGGGACAAGCAUUCUCCAAUGCAGUCUUGAUAUUGUCCACAACAUCAAAUCCUCUGGCCGAGUUGUUAUUUGCCAAUGCUGUUUUUUCGCUGUCAAUGGUACUGUUAGGAUUGGUACUGUUGUCCAGCAGAAUUGAUCCAUCGCAACCCUGAAAUAUAAUCAACUAGUGUUUUUCAUCUAAAAAUUGCAUGUUUUUUAAUUUUGCUUACGUCUUCAGAAGUUCUAUUAACAGAGAAGCAGCCGAUAAUAAAAGAACUUUUGUGCUCAGGCAUUGUUCCGAAGCCCUGAAACUUAGAAGCUGCUAAUAUAUACAAAGUAAUCUUGGUUGGUAUGUUUUCAAAGUUGAAUAAGUUGUUCAGCUUAAAUCUUUGAAGAACUAAUUAAAAUUCGCAUCUGAUGCUAUGGAGAUAUUUUCAGGGAAACUAAUAUUAAUUCCAUUUGGAUAAAAAGAAAAGAAAACAUGGACAGAUCUUUUUGUGCUCCAACCAAAGUUCUAAAAGACUUUAGGCAAUAGUCGAGCGGCGGACUAGAGCCUAACGGCUAGGCGGGCCCUAGGAGGACUAGAUCAAUUUAAGCAAUUUAUUGUAUAUUGUAUAAAUAAAUGUCUAUUUAUACUUCAAAAGACACAUAAUUGUAUUGAAUAUGUAAAAUUGCUAGAUAAAAUAACAUACAAAUUAUAAAGUAUUAGGACAUAUUGUAAAUAUGGGAAACAAACAUAUAAUAAGUGUUUAUCCAAGUAUUCAACGAGUCUCUUACAUUUUAUUGACAAAAAUAAAAUGCAAAAUGAAAGUUAUCAAUUUUAUGUCUAGGUGGGAGUCGCGACCUAGGCGGUGCAUAGGCAGGUUUAGGCACACUUUCUUAACUUUUAAAUGCCUAUGGACUAAUUGAGACGAUGACCAGCUGCCUAGUGUCUAAGCAGGAAUUUUCAGAAUAGUGGCUCCAACUACAAGUUCUACUUAUUUUAAUUAAAAGGGUUCUUCACAAAUAAGCUCCCUCAAAACUAUGUUAGGUCAAAGACACUUAAAUCUGCUUGCAGUAUACACUAAAUAAGCAUAACACCAUAAAUCGAGCUGGUGCACUACUACUGAGGCCAUACUUAAAACCAAAAUCCCGGACUGGAAAUUUCCAAUAAAAAAAAAUCCCGGACUGGAAUUCGUGAUAAGAACACCGGCCAAAGAAAGAUUUUUUUACAAACAAAGGGUAUCAGAAGCAAAGAAAUGAAUCAUACGUUGACAAAGCAAUCGUGAAAGUGAAGCCGAGUGAGGCUGGCAGUAAUCCGGGGAUCGGUCUGCAGAGCCUCUUCAAUGACUCCACGCACAAUGCUGGUGGCAUUCGGGCAUGUUUCAUCAUAAAACGUAGGAGUCAACUGAGCAUCACCACAUCCUGCACUUGCACACAAGAUUAGUAACACUGCCAAAACAUAUUUGUAAUACAAUUGAGCACUAUAAGAAGGAGGCAUUUUUUUCAGGUGGUGUUCGAUUUUUCUAACAUAUGUUGAUCAAUGCAUAUGUGAGCCAAACGGUAUAGGUCUAUUUAUUGAGUGACAGAGUGAACUGGUAGAUGAGAAACCCGCGUUAGGUAGAUGUCAAAUUAGCUUUAUUUUUUUU
rnacentral:lncRNA from 1 species